rnacentral:lncRNA from 1 species
UGCAAGCAACCCACAAGCUAGUUUUAUUGAAUAUUAAAAUAACAUAGUUGAUUUCUAAAACAUACAAAAUUUAUUAUCUCAUCAACACAUAAUUAUUUUGAUAACCAUAAGGUUGAGAUUUAUCCACCCAAAAUAGGGGAGAUAACAAAACUAUUGUGUUGUUGUUGCUGGUGUGCAAUUAAUCUUGCAGGGACAGUUGAUGAAGCAUUCUCCAAGGUCUGGCCAGCACAAGUUAUCUAUUUGACAACAGAAUUCCCGUCCUGGGAGCUGGUGCCCAUCUUUAUAACAAGGGGGUCUGGUUACAUGGCUUACUUUGCUCAUCAUGUUUCUCCCCUUGUUGUUUAUGAUUUCACCUAAUUAACAUAAAAUAAAGAAUAUACUUAUCAUUUCAUCAUAUAAACAAUAAAAGUCCACAAUAUCAAUCCCCCCAAAAAAUUGAGUUGUUAAUUACCAUAUGUGCCUCCAAGACAAGUUAAACACACCACAAGAAGAAAAGAAAGUAGCACAAGUCCUUGCACAUUGUUCCUCGUGAACUUUGUCAUCGUCACUAAGGAAAAGAGGCUAUUAAUAGGUGGUACUCUUGUAAGUGGAGUUGAUAAGUGUAUGACCGUGAAAUGCUUGCUCCAUGAAUGGUUCAUAUAUAUAUAGGAAAAGCUUCUCCGCGUUGAUGUGUGAAGUUAUAGAAAAUAUUAAUGCUACGAGUUAUGGCUUGUCUGAAUUUCCAAUUUUAGUUUAACUUCUAAAGAUUCAUGGUUCCUUCUAAAGUUUUUUUCCUCAAAUUGAUGCUUUGUCAUAGCAUGUAAGUUACUUUAAUGCCCCCUCUAGAAUUGACCGCUUAUUGUUUCCAAAGGGUAGAAUUGACCUCUUAGAAUGGGUAGCAAAAAACGGGUGCAUGGCAAUAUUGUGUUUAAGGCAUUGAUAAUAAUUGGUAUAAUAUUAAUAAUUCCUAUAUAUAUGAUGCCUUAUCAGUAAAUUAUUAAUUUCUCUCUUGGUAUAAGAGAACAAAAUUUAAAAUUCAACAAGACUCGUCCACUUAACAUUGGACUUGUUUUUUAAUGUAUAUAAGCAAUUGUUCUUAAGUAUAUCAGCAAGUUACGGAUACAUUUUUUUACUUUUAUUCCAUGAACAUAGAUUAAUUAUGGGAUGGCCAUUUUAUAAAUAUAAGAUGAUGAUUUAUUUUCAUAUACAUGAACAUUUUAUAUCAAGGUAGUUGAGCAUUUUUUACAUUUUUCUAUACACAAAAUUUUCUCCAAUAUUAAGUUGAUUUUGAUUUCUUUAAAUAGAUUAGUUUCCCCAAAACGUUCUUUAUUAGAAUAGUGAAAAUGUUGCACUUGCCCGACUAUGGCAAAUUUCGUUAAUUCUCGGGACUCCCUAUAUGUUCCUCCUUGCGGCUAACAACCUCCCCUUCGGAUAGUGCGCGCCUGGCUGGGCCGGCCCAUUGACGACACGAAUGGACACCACUGAGUGGGAGAGUAGGCGCUGAGCCAAUCCACUUCAGCGACAAUUUUUUAAAUUUUGGAAAAUUUCUUUGCAAAAUGAACAAGCAUUGAUAAAUGCGAAGUUUUUUUGAACAUAUUCUAAAAUUUGAAAUUUCUUAAAACCCCAAUUAUAUUUGGAAUUUCGUUCAUUUUUCUGAAAAUAUGAACGAUUUAGGAAAUACUGAAGAUUAUUUGAAAACUACGUCCUUUCCUUGGAAAACCAAAAAUUUAUUUAUAACAAAAUAUGAGAAUCGGAACAUUUCCUGAAAACUUGAAUAUUUUUUAAAUUUCAAAUUUACGCACAUUUUAAAAAAGGAGACUUUUUGAUAGAGAAAAUAAGAAAAAUAAAACAUGGAAAAACCAAAUAUGUAAAACUAAAAAAUAACCCAAAGAAAACGGUAACAGAAACAGAAGGAAAAAAAGAACAAAUGAAAAUACUAGUAAAAAUCAUAUCAGAACCUUUUAGAACGCUCCCAAAAUUGGUAAAAGCCCAGAAGGAAUAUUCCGGAAGUUCAUAAAACUAGAGAGGCGCGGCUAACAUGGGUCGGCCGUCCCAAGCUCUAGCAUCGAUUCUGUGUGCAAUCCCCGGCAAUUUGAUGUUUACUGCUCAAAUAGGGUUUUCGCCAAUUCUCUUGUUUCUUGUUGCCUCAUAUGAGUUUGUUGUUGUUUGGGACAUACCUUGGCGCCAUUUGUACGGGUUCGAUGACCGCCAUCAAGGGUCUCUUAGUGGAAUCACAAUAUCUUGCAUCGUGUGAGGGCGUGAGGAGAUUAUAGUGGCCCUAGUGGCAUUUUGGGGAGCAUUGUGCCUCCACAGUGCUCCAGACGGAGAUUAGCAUCUGCAAUGUCGUCUCCGCGUGCCUCAGUUAUUUCUUACCCGAGCCCUUUACUUUGUGAUAGCCAUAGUGUUUCAUGUUAUAUAUCUUGCUAUCACAUAGUUGUUUGUCGUGCUUAGCAUAAGUUGUUGGUGCACAUAGGUGAGCCUAGUGGUUUUAGCUUUUAUGCUUGACAAAUUAGACACUAGUUUUAUUCUACAUUUGUUCAAGCCUAAAUAGUAAUUAUUUUAAAGCAUCUAUUCACCCUCCCUCUAGGCAACAUCCACGAUUUUUCAAGUGGUAUCAGAGUGUCGCCUCUCUUUAUUAGGCUUAACCACUUAGAGAGUAAAGAUGUCGACUAGGGGAUUAGGAUUCUUUGACACUCUUUGUUUCAAUGGCACAAUUUUUGAUGUUGUUGUAAUUCGUAUGGUUAAUCUCUUUAGGGUCAUGGACCCAAAUUUAGAGCGAAUUUUAGAUAUUAGUUUUCAUCCUUCAAAGGAUCCUCAAAGAUUAUCUCUAGAGGAUGAGAAAAAACUCUUAUCUCACUGCUCAAGCUUCUAAUGUGCUUUUUGAUGCUUUGAACAAUGUAGUUAUAUUUGAACUUAUGCUAUUCUGGGAUGCUCAUGAUUUGUGGACAAAGCUUCAAGAUAAAUAUGGUGUGUCCAGGAUUUCUAGGAAUGAUUAUUCUCCCUCCAUCUCCAGUCUUAUGGUGUUCUCAACUUCUUCCACUUCACCUACAUGUGGAUUGCCACAAGGUAGUGAUAUGGUGAGUAGUGUUGGUCAUUGCAAUGAUUAUAGUGGGCUUAUUGUUGAUGAUCCUUCAUCGCUAUCUUAUUGAAUGCUCCGUCUUUGCACUUCAACACUUCGAGAUCUCUAGAUGGUUCACACGCUCGUGUUGAUAGUCCUUGCAUAUCACGUAGAAUUUGCUCAACUAAAUCUCAUGAUGAUAUGCUUGCUAUGUCUUGCUGCCAUGAUAAAAGUGCCUCUAUUUCCUCGAGUUGUUGUGCAAACAGUGUAAAGGAAACCCUACACUCCAUGGAACAAGAUGUGGUCCUGAAUGGUGCUUCAAGGGAUCCAACAUCAUCAUCUAUUGUUUCUCACUUUUGCCUUAUGGCUACGGUUUCAAAGGUAUCUCCCAGUUUGAAUCCCAAUAUAUAUUGUGAUGAUGAUGUUCAUGAUAAUCAGGGGAGGGGCCCCACCCAGUUGAAAUAAGGGGAGGGACCCUACCCAGUUGAAAUCAGGGGGUGGAGUGAUCAGUUAGGAAAGUUAAGUAAGAUUACGUAGGAUUUCUACGUAAUGCUACACCUACGUAGCUAUCAUACAAGAAUUUCUCCUCCCUCUCGUCCCAUUGCCCCUUCCAUGGCACUCUGCUCGAUAAGAAUAUUCUCCACUCCAGCAACACAUGUAUCUUCAGUAGUCCUAGUGCAAUUUUGCCUUCCCCAACUUUUCUACAUCAAAAUCCACAUCUGCACGAGAUGUACCAACAAUCAGUCGGGUUACGAAAGCUAUAUUUUCCACACAAGGGAAGGGCUAGAAAUCAAUACUGCAAAUUUGUCAUCUUAGGACUGGCAUUUACAUUUAUAAUUUAACAAGAACAGAUCACAUCAUAGUUCAAAUAAGAUAAGUAUGAAUGGACAUAAGUUUCCCAGUUAUAGGAUCAAACUAUAGGGGUGCUGCAAAAGCAACAACUUUGAACCAAGCUUCAUUGCCUCAGUAUACGAGUAGAAACCUGGGAGCCCUCCCUUGUUACCCUUCAUGGUGACAAACUAACAAUCUCGCAUGCAAGUUUCUUCCGGAGGUGCUCCAGCUGAGCCUGGGCGAGAAAAAAAAUACAGCUUUCAGUCCACCUCACAGUUUGUUCACUGUGGACACGCCCUGAACUACCAUGCUUUUACCUCACUAUGUUCAAACCCGAGGAUGUUGUGCAUGAUGUACACAUCGCUAUCCUCCUUAAGAUCACGGGAUCAGUAUUCGUCUUUGUUAGUGUGAAGUAUAACAAAAAAAAUUAUCCUUGUUCAAAGUCAGAUGUACUAACCUCGUGCACAGUUUGUUCCGCGCCACUAAAGGGUACACAAAAGUCCAUCCAGUCGUGUCAACCAACCCGGCACCAAAAAUGUCAUUGAACACUCACCCCUUCGACCAUUCGAACCUCUGCGAGCCAAUGCUGGCCUCGAGCUGCCGAGGUUUCUGCUGUUGCAGUACAUCUCAUUGGUAGGAUCCCAGCAGAUUUUGUGGCUGAAGCACACCCAUGGGUAGGACAAGCAUUAGUCAAGAGCAAACUUUAAAUCUUUUAGAACACCAACUACAAAUGUGAAACUAUUUGCUUGCCGUGCACCCACAUUCUAGUUCUAACUUUGCCAGUUCCGCAACAGCAAACAUUUCGUCCAAUCUUAUCUGUUCUUCUUUGUCAACCUCGCCAACAACAUCUUGGUUUGUUUGACUCCUGGCAUUCGCACUAUUCGCCCCAACUCCACUUCCGGCAACAUCUCUCAUUCUCAGCUUCAGCUGAAGCCUGCUCAAGCUCCACAGCCAUGGCCCCCUGCAUGCACAAUUGACUCCAAAUAAACAUUCUUGGACUACCAACCUGACCCAAGGCCACCUCGCAAUUCCGAUGAAAUACGUAGGUUGCUCUACCCAGCUGGUGCUCCAAUGGGUUACCUUACAUUGCAAAACAAUAUUGGUAUUUAUAUUUUUGUGGUCCAGCAUUGCUGCAUUUGUCGACAAAUAGUGCACUCGUCGAACAGCAAUCAAGCUUUUUUUAGAAGGAGGAUGUACCCCCGGCCUCUCCAUUCGGAUGAUGCAUUCAACCAUAUUAUUAAUUAUCCACAAAGAUCAUACAAGGUGAUACAUCAAUAAGCCUGAAGCCAUCAUCUUGGCAAUGUUGUUGCUACUUCUAUCCCCUUGAUGAAGGUGUGUCGGAUGUCCGAGCCUAAUACCAUGCAGACAUCGCACCAAAACCUAACAUAUAAAGCCGGGUGUCCCAUCCAAGCCACUACCUGGAAUGGGUCCCACAUCGGUCUGGCAGACUCCCAGUGAGCACCGCACGCUGCAAGGGUCGUCGCCUCCAUCUUCCAUCAGUCCAUCCUCAAAGCAGAACUGAUGCACUGACCGUGACAGGCCUCUCUGCCAUCAAUGCCACCAUGACGCUGGACAGCUUCCUCCUCCUGCGCGAGUCCAUCUCUGUGCAUCAGACGCCAAGUGUCCAUUGCGCCAUGCCGCCGAGACCCACCGUCAAUGAUACGGUUGAUGCCACACCGCUCCACCUACAUGCCAUCUCGCAUCGACUCCGAACUACCAGCAGCUCCACCACCUUGAGCAGUCCCUGUCCGACGCCUUCAGAAAGGAACACGACACCAAAGUACCAUUGUCGCCCAAACAGAGGAACAGAGACUUUUGCAUGCGCUCAUGGCAGAGGUGGGGGGCGUAUGAUCCACACCAAAGCCUCCAGGAAGGGAAUCGGCGCCGACGGCGUAGACUUUGGUGCGGCCGCCACGCCGGCCUGAAGUUUCCCCUCGAUUCAUGCCCACCCGCCAGACCCUAUCCAGGCAGUAUAAGUGUCGACCGUAUUCGCUACCGUUGCCAGCACGAACUGGAGAGUAGAUCUACUGUAGGUAGGGUAUAAUGUUUGGUACACGUGCAAUGUUCAGAUUCAUUUUUCAUUCGUCAACUCCCAUUCCCAGCCUGAAUUACUAGGGCCCCUUCAGGGAGAGAUACGGGGGAGUUACCCCCGUCAAUUCAUAUUACCUUCCCUCCACAACUCCUAUGUCCCCGAACCAUACAGGGGAUUUUUAGUGUCAUAGCCUCUUAAUUCCCAUUCCCCAGCUUUUCUUCCCCCCAACCAAACAGGCUGUAAGAGUGAUUCUUGCAUCGCGCUCCAGCAUCACAACUCCUUGCCGAACUGAAUCUACUAAGUUCCAUACAAAUUUAGCUUGAUUUAUGUACAUAUGUACAAUGUGACGACAGUAGUGGAGUUGCUUUUUCGCUAAAUUCAACACACAAUGGACAGGAUACUGUAUGCCACCUAGUUUAGAGAUAGCUAUUAAAGUUUUAUCAUUUGAGCAUCCUUAUUCAAAUUAAUAUGUGCUAACGAUACUAUUGAGGCUUCUAAGAUUUAAGUACCCAAACUCGACUUCUGUAGAUAAACAUAGAAGUACAAUCUUUGCAUAGGUAUACACUAUCUUCCAAUAUAUGAUUUCAUUCCAUUGUGUAAUUUGGUCGAAAAAUUACGGCGUGCUUUUGGUGACUAGACUAGAGUAGAAUUGGCAUAAGAGCUAAUGCAAGGAAGAAAAUCAUGCCCCAGACAUUUGCAUAGCCCGACUCAAACUUGCCAAAUGUAGCAAGUUUUUUUAUGCAAAUUCCAAAUGAUAUUUAAUUUAUCAAAAAUAAUGAAAUUUAGUUCAACGUUUCAGGCCUGAAGCAAACCUGAAUCAUCUAUACUUCUUAUCCUCCUAAUCUUUGCAGAACCAGCAAAAGUGGGCAAUAAGAACCGAACAAAUGAAGGCCUCUAUUUUGUCUGCAGCACAUAAACCCUUUAUCACUACUAGGACAAGGCCUACUAAUGGCGCACCAGUUUUGCCUACUAAUGGCGCACUACUGGUGCGUCAUUAGUAUCACGCCACUAAUAUUUUUUACUGAUGGCGCAUCAAUAGUGCGCCAUUAGUAUCUGGUAUACUAAUGGUGCACCACUGGUGCGCCAUUAGUAUAGGCCACGGUGCGCCAUUAAUAUUUUUGAAUUUUGAAGGUGGGAAAAUAGAAGUGGCGCACCGUCUAACCCCCAUGGUGCGCCAUUGCUAAUUUUGAAUUUUGAAUUUGGAUCUGGAUCGCGAUUUCUUUGCCCAUUUUUUGCUCUUUUUUUUUGCACGAUAUUAUUUCAAAUUUUGUUCCUGUUUUUGGAUCUUGUACGUUCUUUUGCCGUGUUCUUUUGCCGGAGAGGAGUUCGCCGGAGAGGAGUUUGCCGGAGAGGAGGAGGAGGUCACCGGAGAGGAGUUCACUGGAGCAUCGGAGAGGAGGAAGGAGAAACCAUGAUGGGAUGGGAGGAGAGGAGGGAGAAGGAGCUCACCGGAGAGGAGGGAGGAGGAGCUCACCGGAGAGGAGGGGGGAGGAGCUCACCGGAGAUGAGGGAGGAGGAGCUCACCGGAGAGGAGGGAGNNNNNNNNNNNNNNNNNNNNNNNNNNNNNNNNNNNNNNNNNNNNNNNNNNNNNNNNNNNNNNNNNNNNNNNNNNNNNNNNNNNNNNNNNNNNNNNNNNNNNNNNNNNNNNNNNNNNNNNNNNNNNNNNNNNNNNNNNNNNNNNNNNNNNNNNNNNNNNNNNNNNNNNNNNNNNNNNNNNNNNNNNNNNNNNNNNNNNNNNNNNNNNNNNNNNNNNNNNNNNNNNNNNNNNNNNNNNNNNNNNNNNNNNNNNNNNNNNNNNNNNNNNNNNNNNNNNNNNNNNNNNNNNNNNNNNNNNNNNNNNNNNNNNNNNNNNNNNNNNNNNNNNNNNNNNNNGUGAGGGGAGGGGAAGGGAGGAGAGGAGAGGAGAGGAGGGAGGAGGAGGUCGCCGGAGAGGAGGAGGAGGUCGCCGGAGAGGAGGAGGAGGAGGUCACUGGAGAGGAGGAGGGUAGUAUGGUGGAGGAGAAAAGGGAAGAUGGAGUGGAGGAGUGGAGGAGAGGUGGAGUGGAGGAGAAGAAUGAAGAGGUAAGGAGGAGAGGACAUGCCCAGCCAUAUAUACGGCAUAGUAAUGACGCAUCGUGGGCAGGUGCGCCAUUACUUUUUUUAAUUUUUUUAAUUUUAAAGGCGGGAAGAUAGUAAUGGCGCACCAUGGGCAGAUGCGCCAUUAGUAACUUUUUUUUAUUUUAAAUUUUGAAGGCGGGAAGAUAGUAAUGGCGCACCAUGGGCAGGUGCGCCAUUAGUAACUUUUUUUUAUUUUUUGAUUUAUUUUGAAUUUUGAAGGCGGGAAGAUAGUAAUGGCGCACCAUGGGCAAGUGCGCCAUUAGUAAGUUUGAUUUUUUUUGAAAUUUUUUGCCUCUCCAGAUCUUAAAAGCCCCGUAUCUUUUUUUCUGUUAGGUUUUUGAGGAUUUUAAAAAUGUUUAACGGGGUUCCCCUGUUAAAUUCGGAUGUAACUUUUCGAGUAGAUGAUUUUUCAUAUAAAAAAAAUUCAUCCGAGUUCGUAUGCAAAAGUUAUGCCCAUUUUUACAAAUUCUUGAAAGAUUUUGCAAAAAAGUCGAAAAUUCAUGUUUGUAAAUUUUGCUAACAACUAGAUCACAUAUCACAUGGGAAUCUUAUUUUCUUUUAUUUUUUUGACAUUUCUAUCAUUUUCUUUUUUUUUUAAACUGAAAAGGCGGUCCAGGGGGGUUGCAUUCGGGGGAAUGUUUGGGACAAAUUACUAAUGGCGCACCGUGGGAAGGUGCGCCAUUACUAGUUUCAACUAGUAAUGCCGCACCACUCUCACAGUGCGCCAUUAGUAGUUUCGGAAAAAUUAAAAAAAAAUUACUAAUGGCGCACCGUGGGAUGUGGUGCGCCAUUAGUAUUUGCACACUAAUGGCGCACCAACACAUGGUGCGCCAUUAGUAUUUAGUAAUGGCGUACCACAUGUACAGUGCGCCAUUAGUGUCCAUCCCAUCUAUAGCUCUUUUCCUAGUUGUGUAUGUUCAAUGUACAAAAAACAAAAUUGCAUCAAGUAAAUGUAACAGAAGAGGAAAAUAAGAGAUAUAUGUAGAAACAGAAAUCGAACAUAUCCGGGCAAACACAACAUCUCGCCGCGCAGAUAAAUUCUAGACGUACUUCCGAGGUGAAGAAAGAAGGUGGAUUUAGAAGCAGGAGAGCAAAGACCCGGGGAUGGGGGCGAGAAACAGAGUUCUAAUGCCUUUGGGUCUACAUCCCCUCUGGAUAUGUGUCUUGGAGUGUCUGAUCUCAUGGCCGUGGGGCUCAUGGUGGCCAGAGACGCCCUGCAGCCUACUAUGGUGCAAUAACUAACUCAAAUGCCAUUGACAGCAUGGAGCUAUGCCAGGAGUGUGGCGGCCCUCUUGGACAUCAGCGCACGCGUAGGAUGCUGGUACAUAGCGGUGGGCGCCGCCAUCGAGAUCAAGGUCGGGGGAGACGGGAGGGGUGCCCCUAGGCGUGCUAAAUAAAGGAGCCUGGGAGCUUGCCGGGCGCCUCCAUUGGUGUUAGGCUGCUGUUAAUGCAUGGGUGCUUAGAUGAGGUGCUAAGCACAUUAAAUAGUUUAACAACUAUACUCCCCAAUGCAUAGGUGCUUAGCUUAUGGUUGCUAAGCUUGCUUCAUUUAAUGAUUUAGCAACUAAAGCUCUUCAUGUAUUGGUGGGCUUUUUUUCUUUAAAUGUUUUGCCUAGGUUCACGAGCUUAGCAUUGUCUCUUCCUGGGUCACCACACUCAUCUCCCUCCUCUUAAAUAACUUGCCACAUCAGAUUUUUUGCCUAUGUGAAAAGCUUAGCACCUGUACAAGGUGGAGCAUUGGGAGGGGCCUUAAUGCACUUUUAGCAAUGGUAACAUUACUCCUCGCUUGAAUACCGGUGGACGAUCUCCAAUCACCCAUUGUUGGGGAACGUAGCAGAAAUUCAAAAUUUUCCUACGUGUCACCAAGAUCUAUCUAUGGAGAAACUAGCAACGAGGGGAAGGAGAGUGCAUCUACAUACCCUUGUAGAUCGCUAAGCGGAAGCGUUCAAGAGAACGGGGUUGAAGGAGUCGUACUCGUCGUGAUCCAAAUCAUCGGAGAUCCUAGUGCCGAACGGAUGGCACCUCCGCGUUCAACACACGUACAGCCCGGUGACGUCUCCCAUGCCUUGAUCCAGCAAGGAGAGAGGGAAAGGUUGAGGAAGACUCCAUCCAGCAGCAGCACAACGGCGUGGUGGUGAUGGAGGAGCGUGGCAAUCCUGCACGGCUUCGCCAAGCACCACGGGAGAGGAGGAGUACUUGGGAGAGGGGGAGGGCUGCGCCAGAACUUGGGUGUGGCUGCCCUCCCACCCCCACAUAUAUAUAGGGGCAAGGGAGAGGGGGGCCGGCCCCCUCAGAUCCAAUCUUAGGAGGGGGCGGCGGCUAGGGGGGUUGCCUUGCCCCCCAAGGCAAGGGGGGCGCCCCCUUUUAGGGUUUCCCCCAAGCCCUAGGCGCCUUGGGCCUUGGUGGACGGCGCACCAGCCCACCUGGGGCUGGUCCCCUCCCACACUUGGCCCAUGCAGCCCUCUGGGGCCGGUGGCCCCACUUGGUGGACCCCCGGGACCCUCCCGGUGGUCCCGGUACAUUAUCGAUAGCACCCGGAACUUUUCCGGUGACCAAAACAGGACUUCCCAUAUAUAAAUCUUUACCUCCGGACCAUUACGGAACUCCUCGUGACGUCCGGGAUCUCAUCCGGGACUCCGAACUACAUUCGGUAACCACAUACAAACUUCCUUUAUAACCCUAGCGUCAUCGAACCUUAAGUGUGUAGACCCUACGGGUUCGGGAACCAUGCAGACAUGACCGAGACCUUCUCCGGUCAAUAACCAGCAGCGGGAUCUGGAUACCCAUGUUGGCUCCCACAUGUUCCACGAUGAUCUCAUCGGAUGAACCACGAUGUCAAGGACUCAAUCGAUCCCGUAUACAAUCCCUUUGUCUAGCGGUAUAGUACUUGCCCGAGAUUCGAUCGUCGGUAUACCGAUACCUUGUUCAAUCUCGUUACCGGCAAGUCUCUUUACUCGUUCCAUAACACAUCAUCCCGCGAUCAAAUCUUUGAUCACGUUGUGCACAUUAUGAUGAUGUCUUACCGAGUGGGCCCAGAGAUACCUCUCCGUCACACGGAGUGACAAAUCCCAGUCUCGAUUCGUGCCAACCCAACAGACACUUUCGGAGAUACCUGUAGUGCACCUUUAUAGUCACCCAGUUACGUUGUGACGUUUGUUACACCCAAAGAAUUCCUACGGUAUCCGGGAGUUGCACAAUCCCAUGAUCUAAGGAAAAGAUACUUGACAUUAGAAAAGCUUUAGCAUACGAACUACACGAUCUCUGUGCUAGGCUUAGGAUUGGGUCUUGUCCAUCACAUCAUUCUCCUUAUGAUGUGAUCCCGUCAUCAAUGAUAUCCAAUGUCAAUGGUCAGGAAACCGUAACCAUUUAUUGAUCAACGAGCUAGUCAACUAGAGGCUUACUAGGGACAUGGUGUUGUCUAUGUAUCCACACAUGUAUCUGAGUUUCUUAUCAAUACAAUUAUAGCAUGGAUAAUAAACGAUUAUCAUGAACAAGAAAAUAUAAUAAUAACUAAUUUAUUAUUGCCUCUAGGGCAUAUUUCCAACACCCACUAUGCCGCAUCGCUGCCCAUUAAUGUGUCGCUAUCUCAUCACAUUUCCCGCACGCUGCCCUUCCGAAAGCAUACACUCUUUCUUGCGAUAUUCGUUGUGCUAACUGAGCCGAUAUUAAACAACAGAUGAUGGCAAGCGAAUAUGUUACGACGAGCUUAAAUGGGCUUCUUGUGGGAGAAGGGUAUGAUUAACCAUAAACCACCGAUUUUGUUACAGGAGUAGCAGCCAAUGAGGCAUACAGUCCACUUAGUGCUAUUUAAAAGUAUCUUACGGCCAAAAAACGACCAUCACAAAAUGAUCCAAUGGUUAGGAAUGGUGGUGGCCUGAGAGGGCAGGAAAGAUGCUCAGGUAUAAUGUGUCUACAUGUGCUUCCCACGGUAUUGAGCACGAACAUUUGUUGUGCUUGGACCAGCGUCCCUUAAGGUGCACACUAUCCGAAUAGACUUUGUUGGUUGCCACCCCCAUAUCUCUGGGACAUAGAGUGGAUGUGACUCUCACGGUGAUUGGUAAUGCACCAACUAUUGUCAUACCCAUGAAGCAACCGUACCAAAACAGGGCACUCACACCUACAUGAACUGCUGUUUGCUGACUCUGGCUUCCCCUGCACACCGGAUAGCACAUGUCAUGGUCAGCGCAACUAAAUUAGUGAUGGGAGCCCCACACAUAAAAGGACAGAAGAGAAGAGAGUGACGUUUUGGCACAUGGGAGCAUGCGUUCCUGAUUUUUAAAAUUUAUUUUAAACAUCCUUUGAAAUGUCAAAAAAUUUCAAACAAAAACUUGGCGCGUACAUUUCGAUAUUAUACAUGCUCACAAAAUUGUUUCUCAAAAAACCGACAACUCACGUGUUGCGUGUGAAAAAGAAAAAAUCCGGUGUUAAAAAAUGCUUUUCACUAAACAUCCUUUUGUCUUUUUUACACAAGCCAGAAAAAAUGAUUGGUUUUCUCCGAAACUUGACAUGCACACAUAUAAUGUCGAGAUGUAUGCGCCAAAUUUUUCUUUGGAAUUUUUUCACACUUUGAAAUAUUUUUUCGUGUGCAGGAGCGCGUGCUCCCGGGAGCACCAACAGAUAUCCAUAGAAUAGAUAAGCAGAAGGCACUACACGCCAAGUAGCCACAAAUGAUUUCCUGCAUCUAUUUGGUCCUCUCAGCGUUCAAUCUAGUCUUACAAUACCUGAUCCCAAACCCAAUCUCCCACGAAUACAAGUUGUAGAUGUCCUGCGCCUCACCUAGCGAGUAGCGAGUUGAAUUCAGUCCCAGUUCUGGCUUGAUUACACUCUCCCUAGCCUCCUCUGCACAUUUCCGAAUCGACUGCUCCAAUGCCAUCAUCCUACAUGGACAAGGCCUUUUGUCCGAUGGAGAACUCCUGAGGUGUAACCUGAUUUUUUUAGGAACACAGUCGAUCGGAUAGAUGCAGGCUUACCUCUUUUAUCCAUCCUGGUCCUCCGGAUUGACCCUAUCAACGAACACCAGAAAUAAUAAAAAUUAUAUCUAUAUCCGUAGACCACAUAGCAAAGAUUACAAGCACUAAAGCGAGCCGAAUGCGCGCCGCUAUCAUUACCCCUCCCUCAACGGAGCUGGGCAAAACUUGUUGUAGUAGACAAUCGGGAAGUCGUCGUGCUAAGGUCUGAUAUGUCUCCGUCGUAUCUACUUUUCCAAAAACUUUUUUCCCUGUUUUGGACUCUAACUUGCAUGAUUUGAAUGGAACUAACCCGGAGUGACGUUGUUUUCAGCAGAACUGCCAUGGUGUUAUUUCUGUGCAGAAAUAAAAGUUCUCGGAAUGACCUCAAAAUCCACGGAGCAAAUUUUCAGAAUUAAUAAAAAAUACUAGUGAAAGAAUCAGCGUUAGGGGGCCCACACCCUAUCCACGAGGGUGGGGGCGCCCCCCUCCCCUAGGGUGCGCCCCCUACCUCAUGGGCCCCCUGGACGUCCACCGACCUCAACUCCAACUCCAUAUAUUUGCUUUCAUGGAGAAAAAAAUCAGAGAGAAAGUUUCAUCGCGUUUUACGAUACGGAGCCGCCGCCAAGCCCUAAUCUCUCUCGGGAGGGCUGAUCUGGAGUCCGUUCGGGGCUCCGGAGAGGGGGAUUCGUCGUUGUCAUCAUCAUCAACCAUCCUCCAUCACCAAUUUCAUGAUGCUCACCGCCAUGCGUGAGUAAUUCCAUCGUAGGCUUGCUGAACGGUGAUGGGUUGGAUGAGAUUUACCAUGUAAUCAAGUUAGUUUUGUUAGGGUUUGAUCCCUAGUGAAGGAAAUAUGCCCUAGAGGCAAUAAUAAAGUUAUUAUUUAUUUCCUCAUAUCAUGCUAAAUGUUUAUUAUUCAUGCUAGAAUUGUAUUCACCGGAAACAUGAUACAUGUGUGAAUACAUAGACAAACAUAGUGUCACUAGUAUGCCUCUACUUGACUAGCUCAUUAAUCAAAGAUGGUUAUGUUUCCUAACCAUAGACAUGUGUUGUCAUUUGAUUAAUGGGAUCACAUCAUUAGGAGAAUGUUGUGAUUGACUUGACCCAUUCCGUUAGCUUAGCACUUGAUCGUCUAGUAUGUUGCUAUUGCUUUCUUCAUGACUUAUACAAAGUUCCUACAACUAUGAGAUUGUGCAACUCCCGUUUACUGGAGGAACACUUUGUGUGCUACCAAACGUCACAGUAUAACUGGGUGAUUAUAAAGGUGCUCUACAGGUGUUUCCAAAGGUACAUGUUGAGUUGGCAUAAUUCGAGAUUAGGUUUUGUCACUCCGAUUGUCGGAGAGGUAUCUCUGGGCCCUCUCGAUAAUACUCAUCACUUAAGCCUUGCAAGCAUUGUAACUAAUGAGUUAGUUAUGAAAUGAUGUAUUACGGAACGAGUAAAGAGACUUGCCGGUAACGACAUUGAACUAGGUAUUGGAUACCGACGAUCGAAUCUCGGGCAAGUUACAUACCGAUGACAAAGGGAACAACGUAUGUUGUUAUGCAGUUUGACCGAUAAUGAUCUUCGUAGAAUAUGUAGGAACCAAUAUGAACAUGCAGGUUCCACUAUUGGUUAUUGACCGAGAAUAGUUCUAGGUCAUGUCUACAUAGUUCUCGAACCCGUAGGGUCCGCACGCUUAACGUUACGAUGACAGUUUUAUUAUGAGUUUAUAAGUUUUGAUGUACCGAAGUUUGUUUGGAGUCCCGGAUGUGAUCACGGACAUGACGAGGAGUCUCGAAAUGGUCGAGACAUAAAGAUUGAUAUAUUGGACGACUAUAUUCAGACACCGGAAGUGUUCCGGGUGAUUUCGGAGAAAACCGGAGUGNNNNNNNNNNNNNNNNNNNNNNNNNNNNNNNNNNNNNNNNNNNNNNNNNNNNNNNNNNNNNNNNNNNNNNNNNNNNNNNNNNNNNNNNNNNNNNNNNNNNNNNNNNNNNNNNNNNNNNNNNNNNNNNNNNNNNNNNNNNNNNNNNNNNNNNNNNNNNNNNNNNNNNNNNNNNNNNNNNNNNNNNNNNNNNNNNNNNNNNNNNNNNNNNNNNNNNNNNNNNNNNNNNNNNNNNNNNNNNNNNNNNNNNNNNNNNNNNNCCUUGGUGGGAAGAGAGUGGGGCGGCCAGGGUGGGCCGCGCGCCUCCUCUCCCUCUCGUCCGAAUUGGACUAGGAGGGGGGGCGGCGCCCCCCUUUCCUUUCCCCCUCUCCCCCUUCCUUCCCACUCCUAGUAGGAGUAGGAAAGGAGGAAUCCUACUCCUUCUAGGAAGAGGAUUCCUCCUCCUUGGCACGUCCCAAGGGGCCGGCCGGCCUCCCCUCUUGCUCCUUUAUAUACGGGGGCAGGGGGGCACCCUGGGACACACAAGUUGAUCUACGAAUCGUUCCUUAGCCGUGUGCAGUGCCCCCCUCCACCAUAUUCCACCUCGGUCAUAUCGUCGCAGAGUUUAGGCGAAGCCCUGCGCCGGUAGAACAUCAUCAUGGUCACCACGCCGUCGUGCUGACGGUACUCAUCCCUGACGCUUUGCUGGAUUGGAGCCCGGGGAAUGUCAUCUAGCUGAACGUGUGCUGAACACGGAGGUGCCGUACGUUCGGUGCUUGGAUCGGUCGAGUCGUGAAGACGUACGACUACAUCAACCGCGUUGUGAUAACGCUUCCGCUUACGGUCUACGAGGGUACGUGGACAACACUCUCCCCUCUCGUUGCUAUGCCAUCACCAUGAUCUUGCGUGUGCGUAGGAAAAUUUUGAAAUUACUACGUUCCCCAACAGUGGCAUCCGAGCCUAGGUUUUAUGCGUUUAUGUUAUAUGCAUGAGUAGAACACAAGUGAGUUGUGGGCGACACAAGUCAUACUGCUUACCAGCAUGUCAUACUUUGGUUCAACGGUAUUGUUGGAUGAAGCGGCCCGGACCGACAUUACGCGUAUGCUUACGCGAGACUGGUUCUACCGACGGGCUUUGCACACAGGUGGCUGGCGGGUGUCAGUUUCUCCAACUUUAGUUGAACCGAGUGUGGCUACGCCCGGUCCUUGCGAAGGUUAAAACAGCACUAACUUGACGAACUAUCAUUGUGGUUUUGAUGCGUAGGUAAGAACGGUUCUUGCUAAGCCCGUAGCAGCCACGUAAAACUUGCAACGACAAAGUAGAGGACGUCUAACUUGUUUUUGCAGGGCAUGUUGUGAUGUGAUAUGGUCAAGACGUGAUGCUCUAUUUAUUGUAUGAGAUGAUCAUGUUUUGUAACCGAAGUUAUCGGCAACUGGCAGGAGCCAUAUGGUUGUCGCUUUAUUGUAUGAAAUGCAAACGCCCUGUAAUUGCUUUACUUUAUCACUAAGCGGUAGCGAUAGUCGUAGAAGCAAUAGAUGGCGUAAACGACAACGAUGCUACGAUGGAGAUCAAGGUGUCGCGCCGGUGACGAUGGUGAUCACGACGGUGCUUCGGAGAUGGAGAUCACAAGCACAAGAUGAUGAUGGCCAUAUCAUAUCACUUAUAUUGAUUGCAUGUGAUGUUUAUCCUUUAUGCAUCUUAUCUUGCUUUGGUUGACGGUAGCAUUUUAAGAGGUGUUCUCUCUGAAUAUGCACCGUUGCCAAAGUUCCUCGUGCCCAGACACCACGUGAUGAUCGGGUAUGAUAAGCUCUACGUCCAUCUACAACGGGUGCAAGCCAGUUUUGCACACGCAGAAUAUUCAGGUUAUACUUGACGAGCCUAGCAUAUGCAGAUAUGGCCUCGGAACACAAAGACCGAAAGGUCGAGCGUGAAUCAUAUAGUAGAUAUGAUCAACAUAGUGAUGUUCACCAUUGAAAACUACUCCAUCUCACGUGAUGAUCGGUUAUGGUUUAGUUGAUUUGGAUCACGUAAUCACUUAGAUGACUAGAGAGAUAUCUAUCUAAGUGGGAGUUCUUAAGUAAUAUGAUUAAUUGAACUUAAAUUUAUCAUGAACUUAGUACCUGAUAGUAUUUUUAUUGUCUAUGUUUGUUGUAGAUAGAUGGCUCGUGCUGUUGUUCCAUUGAAUUUUAAUGCGUUCCUUGAGAAAGCAAAGUUGAAAGAUGAUGGUAGCAAUUACACGGACUGGGUCCAUAACUUGAGGAUUAUCCUCAUUGCUGCACAGAAGAAUUACGUCCUGGAAGCACCGCUGGGUGCCAGGCCUGCUGCAGGAGCAACACCAGAUGUUGUGAACGUCUGGCAGAGCAAAGCUGAUGACUACUCUAUAGUUCAGUGUGCCAUGCUUUACGGCUUAGAACCGGGUCUUCAACGACGUUUUGACUGUCAUGGAGCAUAUGAGAUGUUCCAGGUGUUGAAGUUAAUAUUUCAAGUAAAUGCCCGGAUUGAGAGAUAUGAAGUCUCCAAUAAGUUCUACAGCUGCAAGAUGGAGGAGAAUAGUUCUGUUAGUGAGCAUAUAGUCAAAAUGUCUGGGUAUAAUAAUCACUCGAUUCAACUGGGAGUUAAUCUUCCGGAUGAUAGCAUCAUUGACAGAAUUCUCCAAUCACUGCCACCAAGCUACAAGAGCUUCGUGAUGAACUAUAAUAUGCAAGGGAUGAACAAGACAAUUCCCGAGCUCUUCGCAAUGCUAAAGGCUGCGGAGGUAGAAAUCAAGAAGGAGCAUCAAGUGUUGAUGGUCAACAAGACCACUAGUUUCAAGAAAAAGGGCAAAGGGAAGAAGAAGGGGAACUUCAAGAAGAACAGCAAGCAAGUUGCUGCUCAAGAGAAGAAACCCAAGUCUGGACCUAAGCCUAAAACUGAGUGCUUCUACUGCAAGCAAACUGGUCACUGGAAGCGGAACUGCCCCAAGUAUUUGGCGGAUAAGAAGGAUGGCAAAGUGAACAAAGGUAUAUGUGAUAUACAUGUUAUUGAUGUGUACCUAACUAGAGCUCGUAGUAGCACCUGGGUAUUUUAUACUGGUUCUAUUGCUAAUAUUUGCAACUCGAAACAGGGACUACGGAAUAAGCGAGCACUGGCCAAGGACGAGGUGACGAUGCGCAUGGGAAACGGUUCCAAAGUCGAUGUGAUCGCGGUCGGCACGCUACCUCUACAUCUACCUUCGGGAUUGUCUUAGACCUGAAUAAUUGUUAUUUGGUGCCAAUGUUGAGCAUGAACAUUAUACCUGGAUCUUGUUUGAUGUGAGACGAUUAUUCAUUUAAAUCAGAGAAUAAUGGUUGUUCUAUUUAUAUGAGUAAUAUCUUUUAUGGUCAUGCACCCUUGAAGAGUGGUCUAUUUUUAUUGAAUCUCGAUAGUAGUGAUACACAUAUUCAUAAUGUCCAAGCCAAAAGAUGCAGAGUUGAUAAUGAUAGUGCAACUUAUUUGUGGCACUGCCGUUUAGGUCAUAUCGGUGUAAAGCGCAUGAAGAAACUCCAUACUGAUGGACUUUUGGAAUCACUUGGUACUUGCGAAUCGUGCCUCAUGGGCAAGAUGACUAAAACACCGUUCUCCGGUACUAUGGAGAGAGCAACAGAUUUGUUUGAAAUCAUACAUACAGAUGUAUGUGGACCGAUGAAUAUUGAAGCUCGUGGCGGAUAUCGUUAUUUUCUCAGCUUCACAGAUGAUUUGAGCAGAUAUGGGUAUAUCUACUUAAUGAAACACAAGUCUGAAACAUUUGAAAAGUUCAAAGAAUUUCAGAGUGAAGUGGAAAAUCAUCGUAACAAGAAAAUUAAGUUUCUACGAUCUGAUAGUGGAGGAGAAUAUUUGAGUUACGAGUUUGGUUUACAUUUGAAACAAUGCGGAAUAGUUUCGCAACUCACGCCACCCGGAACACCACAACGUAAUGGUGUGUCCGAACGUCGUAGUCGUACUUUACUAGAUAUGGUGCGAUCUAUGAUGUCUCUUACUGAUUUACCGCUAUCGUUUUGGGGUUAUGCUUUAGAGCUGGCUGCAUUCACAUUGAAUAGGGCACCAUCAAAAUCCGUUGAGACGACGCCUUAUGAACUAUGGUUUGGCAAGAAACCAAAGUUGUUGUUUCUUAAAGUUUGGGGCUGCGAUGCUUAUGUGAAGAAACUUCAACCAGAUAAGCUCGAACCCAAAUCGGAGAAAUGUGUCUUCAUAGGAUACCCAAAAGAGAGACUGUUGGGUACACCUUCUAUCACAGAUCCGAAGGCAAGACAUUCGUUGCUAAGAAUGGAUCCUUUCUAGAAAAAGAGUUUCUCUCGAAAAAAGUGAGUGGGAGGAAAGUAGAACUUGAUGAGAUAACCAUGUCUGCUCCCUCAUUGGAAAGUAGUUCAUCACAGAAAUCAGUUCUUGUGACAUCUACACCAAUUAGUGAGGAAGAUAAUGAUAUUGAUCAUGAAACUUCAGAUCAAGUUUCUACUGAACCUCGUAGGUCUACCAGAAUAAAAUCUGCACCAGGGUGAUACGGUAAUCCUAUUCUGGAAGUCAUGUUACUUGACCAUGAUGAACCUACGAACUAUGAGGAAGCGAUGAUGAGCCCAGAUUCCGCAAAAUGGCUAGAAGCCAUGAAAUCUGAGAUGGGAUCCAUGUAUGAAAACAAAGUAUGGACUUUGGUUGACUUGCCCGAUGAUCGGCAAGCAAUUGAGAAUAAAUGGAUCUUUAAGAAGAAGACUGACGCUGACGGUAAUGUAACUGUCUAUAAAGCUUGACUUGUUGCGAAAGGUUUUCGACAAGUUCAAGGGGUUGACUACGAUGAGACUUUCUCACCCAUAGUGAUGCUUAAGUCUGUCUGAAUCAUGUUAGCGAUUGCCGCAUUUUAUGAUUAUGAAAUUUGGCAGAUGGAUGUCAAAACUGCAUUUCUGAAUGGAUUUCUGGAAGAAGAGUUGUAUAUGAUGCAACCGGAACAUUUUGUCGAUCCUAAGGGAGCUAACAAAGUGUGCAAGCUCCAGCGAUCAAUCUAUGGUCUGGUGCAAGCCUCUCGGAGUUGGAAUAAAUGCUUUGAUAGUGUGAUCAAAGCAUAUGGUUUUAUACAGACUUUUGGAGAAGCCUGUAUUUACAAGAAAGUGAGUGGGAGCUCUGUAGCAUUUCUAAUAUUAUAUGUGGAUGACAUAUUGUUGAUUGGAAAUGAUAUAGAAUUUCUGAAUGGCAUAAAAGGAUACUUGAAUAAAAGUUUUUCAAUGAAAGACCUCGGUGAAGCUGCUUACAUAUUGGGCAUUAAGAUCUAUAGAGAUAGAUCAAGACGCUUGAUUGGACUUUCACAAUGCACGUACCUUGAUAAAGUGUUGAAAAAGUUCAAUAUGGAUCAGGCGAAGAAAGGGUUCUUGCCUGUAUUACAAGGUAUAAAGUUGAGUCAGACUCAAUGCCCGACCACUGCAGAAGAUAGAGAGAAAAUGAAAGGAGUUCCCUAUGCUUCAGCCAUAGGAUCUACCAUGUAUGCAAUGCUGUGUACCAGACCUGAUGUGUGCCUUGCUAUUAGUUUGGCAGGGAGGUACCAAAGUAAUCUAGGAGUGGGUCACUGGACAGCGGUCAAGAACAUCCUGAAAUACCUGAAAAGGACUAAGGAUAUGCUUCUCGUAUAUGGAGGUGACAAAGAGCUAGUCGUAAAUGGUUACGUCGAUGCAAGCUUUGACACUGAUCCGGACGAUUCUAAAUCGCAAACCGGAUACGUAUUUUUGUUAAACGGUGGAGAUGUAAGUUGGUGCAGUUCUAAACAAAGCGUCGUGGCGGGAUCUACAUGUGAAGCAGAGUACAUAACUGCUUCGGAAGCAGCAAAUGAAGGAGUCUGGAUGAAGGAGUUCAUUUCUGAUCUAGGUGUUAUACCUAGUGCAUCGGGACCAAUGAAGAUCUUCUGUGACAAUACUGGUGCAAUUGCCUUGGCAAAGGAAUCCAGAUUUCACAAGAGGACGAAGCACAUCAAGAGAAGCUUCAAUUCCAUUCGGGACCAAGUCCAAGUGGGAGACAUAGAGAUUUGCAAAAUACAUACGGAUCUGAAUGUUCCAGACCCAUUGAGUAAGCCUCUCUCACGAGCAAAACAUGAUCAGCACCAAGACUCCAUGGGUGUUAGAAUCAUUACUAUGUAAUCUAGAUUAUUGACUCUAGUGCAAGUGGGAGACUGAGGGAAAUAUGCCCUAGAGGCAAUAAUAAAGUUAUUAUUUAUUUCCUCAUAUCAUGAUAAAUGUUUAUUAUUCAUGCUAGAAUUGUAUUAACCGGAAACAUGAUACAUGUGUGAAUACAUAGACAAACAUAGUGUCACUAGUAUGCCUCUACUUGACUAGCUCAUUAAUCAAAGAUGGUUAUGUUUCCUAACCAUAGACAUGUGUUGUCAUUUGAUUAAUGGGAUCACAUCAUUAGGAGAAUGUUGUGAUUGACUUGACCCAUUCCGUUAGCUUAGCACUUGAUCGUUUAGUAUGUUGCUAUUGCUUUCUUCAUGACUUAUACAAAGUUCCUACAACUAUGAGAUUGUGCAACUCCCGUUUACCGGAGGAACACUUUGUGUGCUACCAAACGUCACAACGUAACUGGGUGAUUAUAAAGGUGCUCUACAGGUGUCUCCAAAGGUACAUGUUGAGUUGGCAUAAUUUGAGAUUAGGUUUUGUCACUCCGAAUGUCGGAGAGGUAUCUCUGGGCCCUCUCGGUAAUACUCAUCACUUAAGCCUUGCAAGCAUUGUAACUUAUUAGUUAUUUAUGAAAUGAUGUAUUACGGAACGAGUAAAGAGACUUGCCGGUAACGAGACUGAACUAGGUAUUGGAUACCGAUGAUCGAAUCUCGGGCAAGUAACAUAGCGAUGACAAAGGGAACAACGUAUGUUGUUAUGCGGUUUGACCGAUAAAGAUCUUCGUAGAAUAUGUAGGAACCAAUAUGAACAUCCAGGUUCCACUAUUGGUUAUUGACCGAGAAUAGUUCUAGGUCACGUCUAUAUAGUUCUCGAACACGUAGGGUCCGCACGCUUAACGUUAUGAUGAUAGUUUUAUUAUGAGUUUAUAAGUUUUGAUGUACCGAAGUUUGUUCGGAGUCCCGGAUGUGAUCACGGACAUGACGAGGAGUCUCAAAAUGGUCAAGACAUAAAGAUUGAUAUAUUGGACGACUAUAUUCGAACACCGGAAGUGUUCCGGGUGAUUUCGGAGAAAACCAGAGUGUCGGAGGGUUACCGGAACCCUCCCGGGAGAGUUAAUGGGCCACAUGGGCCUUGGUGGGAAGAGAGAGGGCGGACAGGGUGGGCCAUGCGCCCCCUCUCCCUCUAGUCCGAAUUGGACUAGGAGGGGGGGCGGCGCCCCCCUUUCCUUUCCCCCUCUCCCCCUUCCUUCCCCCUCCUAGUAGGAGUAGAAAAGGAGGAAUCCUACUCCUACUAGGAGGAGGAUUCCUCCUCCUUGGAGCGCCCCAAGGGGCCGGCCGGCCUCCCCCCCUUGCUCCUUAGGACACACAAGUUGAUCUACGGAUCGUUCCUUAGCCAUGUGCGGUGCCCCCCUCCACCAUAUUCCACCUCGGACAUAUCGUCGCGGAGUUUAGGCGAAGCCCUGCGCCGGUAGAACAUCAUCAUCGUCACCACAUCGUCGUGCUGACGAAACUCAUCCCCGGCGCUUUGCUGGAUUGGAGCCUGGGGAACGUCAUCGAGCUGAACGUGUGCUGAACACGGAGGUGCCGUACGUUCGGUGCUUGGAUCGGUCGAGUCGUGAAGACGUACGACUACAUCAACCGCGUUGUGAUAACGCUUCCGCUUACGGUCUACGAGGGUACGUGGACAAUACUCUCCCCUCUCGUUGCUAUGCCAUCACCAUGAUCUUGUGUGUGCGUAGGAAAAUUUUGAAAUUACUACGUUCCCCAACACCUAGUAUCCACUAUGUUCUGAGUUUGAUGUUGCUAUGACUUUGCUAUGCUCAAUGCUUGUCACUAGGACCCAAGUGCCAUGAUUUUAUAUAUGAACCUAUUAUGUUUUCAUGAAUAUAUGUGAGUUCUUGAUCCUAUCAUGCAAGUCUAUAGUCACCUAUUAUGUGUUAUGAUUCCACAACCCCGAAGUGACAAUAAUUGGGAUACUUCUCGGUGAUGACCGUAGUUUGAGGAGUUCAUGUAUUCACUAUGUGUUAAUGCUUUGGUCCGGUACUCUAUUAAAAGGAGGCCUUAAUAUCCCUUAGUUUCCAUUAGGACCCCGCUGCCGCGGGAGGGUAGGACAAAAGAUGGCAUGCAAGUUCUUUUCCAUAAGCACAUAUGACUAUAUUCAGAAUACAUGCCUACAUUACAAUGAUGAACUGGAGCUAGUUCUGUGUCACCCUAUGUUAUAACUAUUACAUGAGGAAUCGCAUCCGACAUAAUUAUCCAUCACUGAUCCAAUGCCUAUGAGCUUUUCACAUAUUGUGCUUUGCUUAUUUACAUUACCGUUGCCACUGUUACAAUUACUACAAAACUGCUACCGUUACUUUUGCUACCGUUACCGUUACUUCCAUACUACUUUGCUACUAAAUACUUUGCUGCAGAUACUAAGUUAUCCAGGUGUGGUUGAAUUGACAACUCAACUGCUUAAUACUUAAGAAUAUUCUUUGGCUCCCCUUGUGUCGAAUCAAUAAAUUUGGGUUGAAUACUCUACCCUCGAAAACUGUUGCGAUCCCCUAUACUUGUGGGUUAUUAAGACUAUUUUCUGGCACCGUUGCCUAGGAGCAUAGAUCUAUUCUUUGAAUCACUUGAGAUUUCUAUCUGCUGGUCACUAUGAGGAACUUCAAAGACGAAAGAACUAAGAUUUAUCCCUCAACUACGAGGGGAGAUAAGGAACUACCAUCUAGAUCUGCACUAGAUUCUCCUUCUGUUAUGAGUAAGCUUGCGACACCUAAACCUGCUUCUGCUAUUAAUUCUGAUAUUUCGCAUGUUAUUGAUGAUGCCACUUCUACUAUGCAUGAUACUUAUGAUGAAACUACUUUUGUGCUUGAUACUACUGUGCCAUUAGGUGAAUAUCUUGAUGCACAACUUGCUAGGGUUAGAGAGAAAGAAAUUCUUGAAACUGAUAUUAUUGAAGAUAGUGAUGAUGAAGGUUCUCCCCCUAAAUAUGAAUUGCCUGUUGUUCCUGAGGGUUAUGUUAUGGAUGAAGAAACUGUUAGAGAUUUUCUUGCUUGCAAUGAUAGAUCUGAUCUUAAGAAGUUAUUAGCUAAACUGAAACAGAAAACUCUGAAUGCUAGAAUGAAAUAUGACCGUGCUUUUUCUACUUCACCUAUCUUUAUUACUGAUAAGGAUUAAGAUUUCUCUGUUGAUCCUGAGAUAAUUACUUUGGUUGAAUCUGAUCCUUUCUAUGGCUAUGAAUUUGAAACUGUUGGGGCACAUCUUACUAAGUUAAAAGAUAUAGCCACCCUGUUCACUAAUGAUGAGAAAUCUCGCUACUACUAUAUUCUUAAGAUAUUUGCGUUCUCAUUAAAGGGUGAUGCUAAAACUUGGUUUAAUUAUUUUGAUCCUGGUUGUGUGGGUAGUCCCCGGGAUAUGAUUUAUUACUUCUCUGCUAAAUAUUUCCUUGCUCAUAAGAAACAAGCUGCCUUGAGGGAAAUAUAUAAUUUUGUGCAAAUUGAAGAAGAGAGUCUCCCACAAGCUUGGGGGAGGCUUCUCCGGUUGCUUAAUGCUUUGCCUGAUCAUCCUCUUAAGAAAAACGAAAUACUUGAUAUCUUUUACUAACUGAUGCUUCCAAGGACAACUUGGAUAGUUGUGCUGGUUGUGUUUUCAGGGAAAGAACAGUCGAUCAAGCUAAAUUGCUAUUGAAUAAUAUGUUGACUAAUGAAAAUAAUUGGACUCUUCCUGAGCCAAUUCUUGAGCCAACUCCUAAACCUACUCCGAAGAAGAGGGGUGUUCUAUUUCUUAGUCCCGAAGAUAUGCAAGAGGGAAAGAAAUCUAUGAAAGAAAAAGGUAUUAAAGCUAAAGGUGUUAAGAAUUUACCUCCUGUUGAAGAAAUACAUGGUCUUAAUUUACCACCUAUUGAAGAAACACAUGGUCUUGAUAACCCGACACAGGUAGUAAAGGUAAAUUCUCUCUAUAGAUAUGAUAAGGUUGAAAUCCCGUCUACUAAGUUUGCUAGCCAAUGCUUGGAUGAAUUUGAUGACUUUAUGGCUAGACAAGAAAAUUUCAAUGCUUAUGUUGGUAGAGAAUUAAAGAGUAAUUCUUAUAUGAUUGGACGCUUGAGUGAUUAUAUGGCUAGAGUUAAAGGUGAACUUAAACUCAUUAGUAAAUAUGCUUCUAUGGUUACCACUCAAGCAGAAUAAGUACUUAAAGCUCAAAGUCAUUUGCUCGAUGAAUUAAAUAAUAAACAUGAUUUUGUAUUUAUAGUGGCUACUAGAACGGGUAGAAUGACUCAGGAACCUUUGUAUCCUGAAGGCCACCCUAAGAGAAUUGAGCAAGAUUCUCAGAGAAAUAAUGUAGAUGCACCUAGUCCUUCUAAAAAGAAGAAAAAGAAAAAUGAUAGGACUUUGCAUGCUUCUAGUGAACCCGUUGUAGACACACCUGAGAAUCCCAAUGAUACUUCUAUUUCUGAUGUUGAAACACAAUCUGGUGAUGAACAUGAACCUAGUGAUAAUGUUAAUGAUAAUGUUCAUGUUGAUGCUCAACCUAGAAAUAAUAAUGAUGUAGAGAUUGAACCUGCUGUUGAUCUUGAUAACCCACAAUCAAAGAAUCAACGUUAUGAUAAGAGUGAUUUUGUUGCUAGGAAGCACGGUAAAGAAAGAGAACCAUGGGUUCAGAAACCCAUGCCUUUUCCUCCUAAGCCAUCUAAGAAAAAGGAUGAUGAGGAUUUUGAGCACUUUGCUGAAAUGAUUAGACCUAACUUCUUACGUAUGCGCUUAACUGAUAUGCUUAAAGUGAAUCCUUAUGCUAAAUACAUGAAGGAUAUUAUUACAAAUAAAAGAAAGAUACCGGAAGCUGAAAUUUCCACCAUGCUUUCUAAUUAUACUUUUAAAGAUGGAAUACCUAAGGAACUAGGAGAUCCAGGAGUACCAACUAUACCAUGCUCCAUUAAAAGAAACUAUGUUAAAACUGCUUUAUGUGAUCUUGGAGCCGGUGUUAGUGUUAUGCCUCCCUCUUUAUAUCGUAGACUUGAAUUGAAUAAGUUGAGACCUACUGAAAUAUCUUCGCAAAUGGCCGAUAAAUCAACUGCUAUACCUGUCGGUAUUUGUGAGGAUGUGCCUGUUGUGGUUGCAAACAUCACUAUCUUAACGAACUUUGUGAUUCCUGAUAUUCCUGAGGACAAUAGCAUGUAUAUUAUCCUUGGUAGACCCUUUUUGAAUACUGUAGGGGUUGUUAUUGAUUGCAACAAAGGCAAUGUCACUUUUCAUAUUAAUGGUAAUGAGCAUACGGUACACUUUCCGAGGAAACAACCUCAAGUUCAUAGCAUCAAUUCUAUUAGAAAAAUUCCAACUAUUAUUAUUGGAGGUUUUGAAUUUCCUCUUCCUACUGUCAAGAAGAAAUAUGAUAUUCUUAUUUUUGGGGAUGUGCAUAUCCCCAUUAAGGUAACCUGGUGUCAUUCGAAAUUUCUCCGGUUCCAUGUUAUUCGGAAUGAGUUUGUUAACAAGACUUGAUCAACCUUGUUAGUGGAUUCCUUUUGAUGAGCAUGAGAUGGAUGAAGUUAGAAAGCACAACCUCCUGUACCCUCCUUUUACUUUCUGUUAUUUAGAUUAAAUAAAGUAAAAAUAGUAUUUUCUGUCUGUUUUCUGGAUUAUCCAUGCAAUAAACAAUACCCCGAAAAUAAAAUUUCUCCAAAUGCCCUACAAAUUUAGUAUGAUUUUUCUGGAAAAUUUGAGAAUAUUUGGCACUGAGAACACAACAGGGGGAGCUGGCACCUGGCCACGAGGGUCCAGGGCGCGCCCACCCCUAUAGGGCACACCCCCUGCCUCGUGGGCCCAUGGUGGCCCCCUCCACUUAUUCCCGCACCCACACACUUCUUCUUCCUCCCAAAAAAAUCACCAUCUAGCUCAAGCACGAGUUCUAGCUCAUUUUGCUGCAGUUUUUGAUCUCCUUGCUCAAAGUUCCAUUCACAAAACUGCUUUGGGAGAUUGUUCCUUGGUAUGUGACUCCUCCAAUGGUCCAAUUAGUUUUUGUUCUAGUGCUUUAUUCAUUGUGGCACCCCGGCUCAGAGAAACCGGAACGCCCCGUAUUCCAGCCCAAAGAUCAAGGAGAAGUCUUCUAGAAUACGGCACUGCUUAGCAUAGAACAAACCAGCUUUCUACUAUUACACAAAUAUGAAUACAAGGUCUCCGAUAUUACAAUGAAUAACAUCGAUACGGCGACACUAUGCCAUCCUCGGUUACUCUAUGCAAGCAGCAGAACAACUCGAAGUAGCGGAAGAACUCUAGCAGCGGACCAAUGACGAUGGUGGUGAACUCCACUCCGCAGGGACUCUGGCUAGAACGCUUAUCCUAACUCCGUCGUGGCCCGUCCCACUCUAGGACAAGGAUCCGAAAACUAACUCAACAAUGGGCACACAAGGCUUAUGUCCGCCUACCUAAUCGGGGUAGCGCGCGCCCAUAACCUUCCCUCGUUGGAGGCACCGGCGAGAGGCACAACAAUAGACCCAGUUAGGACCGACCCAUACCGGUAAGCGUGGUUGCACUGGUCAGCAUCGAUUCAGCGGCACCAUGACUCAGCCAACAGUUGUUCAAGUUCAAUUUAAUCCGGUUAACUUGAAUGCAAAUAUGCUGAGUCAUGAUAAAAUGCAUGAACAUGAUAUCAACAUCAUCAUGAGUGUAUCACAUAACUUUCCACCAUAUCAACAAUAAAUCAUAUCCACUGAGCAUGGCAUACUGACUAGCACGACCAUCACCAACAUCAACAUGUACUACUAGCAAUCAUAAAUAUAUGAAAGUUAAUACUAGCAGGUAGAACAUGAUAACAGAGUACAAGACAUCAUAGCACAAAGGUUAACAUGCAACUCUAAACAUCACCGGAACAACGAUAACCAUCUUGUCAACAAGCAAAUAUUUAAUAAAGAUUCAAGUUGAAAACCAUGGCUACUGCACGACUAUCAUGCAAGUGGGUAUUGUGGCUUGCCUGGGGAUGAAGAAGGCACCGGGGAGAAGUGCGGUGAAGCCGCGAAACGAAUUGCUGGAAAAUGUUGUCUCUCGGAGGGGGCUGACUAAGGGCAAGGGCAAAAUGUUCAUUUUCAGUAUGCCAAAACAUAAUGAAAGUUAGACCAACAGAAAGGGCUCGACGAAACAAAGAAGUGAGCAUUGGAUUCACCUCGUUUGGAGUUACGGAUAAAAAGAUAUAAGGGUUUUACUGUGAGGGACCUAUCUGUAAACAUUUAUUUUACAGAUUGGGCCAAAACAAAAAAACGGAAAGCGCAUGCCAAGAUUUACGUUUCCACUUAUCCAGCGUGACAGUGGCGGGGCCGGCUCCUGUGUGGCCGACAGGCGGGUCCCACCUUAUCCACUCCCUCUCUCUCCCCCCUUCUCUUCUUCCUCUCUCCUUCUCCCGACGCCGCACGCAGAGCAGAGGAGAGGCCGCCGGCGCCGACGCUCGCUCCGGCCACUCGGGCCACCUCCGACGGAGCUUGGACCGCCGGAGUGCUCAGGACGGCGAGGCGCACCCGUCCCACCACCACACGAACAUCGGGGAGACUCGGGCAGGGCGGGACCAUGGCCACGGCGAACGGGGCUUCGGCCGAUGAUAGAGGACAAGGCCAUGGCAAUUCCGGCGACUAACGGAGGGCUGCAGAGAGGCUAUGAUGGCUGGCUGACCUACUAGAGGUGGAAGAUACAGGAGAGGGGCUUCGGUUCGGCGGAAUCGGACUGGACAGGGGCGGCGGCCAUGGCGGCAAGGGCGGGCUCAGGAGCUCUUGGAGUUCGAACGAGUGGACGGGGAGGUUGCUGGGAGUGAGGCGAGUCUCGGGGUGAGCUCAGACAAGGCCGGGGAUGGCUUAAAUAGCCGCGGGGCAAGGUGGCCGACCUGGCACCACCGCGGACGCGUGGCCGGCGCCACGGACGCGUGCCCGCGCGCAUGAACUCAGGGGAAAACGACGGAGGAGGAGGAGUGGGGGCUCUCAUGGGGCAGAGGAUGCCAAUGGGGCGCAGGGAGGAAGACUACGGUCACGGGAAGAUCCAAAACCCCACUGUGCUCUCGUGUUCACGCGGCGGCGAGCGUCGAUGAGCAAGCAGACGGAGGGGGAGAGGGGUCCAGGGGAACGACGAUGAGGAGAGGAAGACAAUGGACAGGCUCACGAGCGCGAAAACGGCAAGAGGGGGAGGGGCGCGAGCAAGAAGACGCUCUGGGCGUGGCCAUUGCACGCCAAAACGGUGGUCACCAUGUGAACCGGUGCACACAGUGCCACAAGUGAUGCCAAACCAUGUCUGGGGGUUAGUCCCUCAUGGGUAAGUUGUAACUACGGGGGUAACUAAGUGAAAACGUCUCUGGUUAAAUACUUAGUGAGCUCUGAAGUUUACUGCAGUAAACUUUACCAGCUCAAUAUGAUCAACAGGGAGUUACCUGAAGCCACGGAAUUUGUCUGGGGUGUAUAGCUAUGGAGGGACUAUGAUCCUGGAGGUUUUGAGGGGAAAUGGAACAAGAUAAAUCGUAUUUGCUUUGCAACUGCCAAAAUGGUCCAGAAAUGAAGAUUAGGAUGGUGCACUCACAUGGAGUGUCCACUUGAGCUCAAAUUGGGCAAGGCUUAGUCAUUUGGUCAUAUGAAGAUGCUCACAAAGUAUCAUACCAUUUGGCAAAGCCAAAAUGGUACUUGCUUCACAAACAUCUCUACUGACCAGAAACUUGAAAUAAUUAUGGUGAUCAAAUGGAUCAAUGAAAUGAUGCCAAAUUGGGUGGAGAGAUGUUUUAUGGGUAUAAGAAGGAUCUGGUAAUUUAUCAGGAUUUUUGAAGCAAUAUAAAAUACACUUCCUUCACAACCUGGAAAUAUUGCUAGAAACAAAGAUUUGCUCCUAUGCUCACAUAGAUAAUUGGAUGGGGCUGCAUAUGGGUGGAAGGGGUUAGUAUGAGCACUUUAAGGAGUGUGCAAAAUUUUAACUCAUUUUGAGACUCCUUGCUAGUACUUCCUGCAUAAAGCCUUCCGUUUGACAGAAACUUUGAAAAAUCACUGAGGAAGAUUGGCUAGGCAAAUAAAUUUAAACUUGUGCAUGGGGCAAUUAUUUGGACAUGUAAACAUGCCCAAAAAGGUUGGGAUUCAAUAGGAGAAAUAUAAAUGACACUUCCUUCACAAAGUGCCAUGCAGGGCAAAAUAGAAAAAGGAAUUUUUGGGGAAUUAUUUAAUGGAAAUAAAAAGUUUUGCCAUAUUUGAGCAAGAUAUGACCCAAACAAUUUAUGAGAAUUAUUUGGGAAUUUUUGGAGUAAUGGAAACAGAGGUUGCUUCACAACCUAGGGCAAUUUGAGUUAUUCUUUAAUUGAAAAGGAAUAUUCCCAAUAAAAAGAAUAUUAAGAUUUGGGCUAGGAUGGAAAUGACAGGGUCUAGCGAAAGAUUUGGGGAUGACAAGCCACUCUGCAAGCAAAGAAGAGGUCAUCUCGUUCAGUUUCCAGACCACAAAGCCACGGAAAAAGAAAACUCAGGCAAAAACCUCAGAAAAACAAAAGAAAAAGAAAGGGCCAAAAAUCAGGCUGUCACAAACCUUACCCCCUUAAAGAAAUCUCGUCCUCGAGAUUUGGUUGCUCAGGGAACAAGUAUGAAUAUUCUGACUUGAGGAAACCGUUUCCAACUCGGGUAUCCUUUUUUCCUUUAUUGGUGUUCCCAUUAAAUUUUUAUCUGACUGGCCCUGGGGUGGUUUGAUUUGCUUUAUCCACAUUCUGACAGAUCUUACCUUGCUUGCUCAUGCUUAUAUAGGCUCCAAUUUCUUUUUAGAUCUGCUGACUAGCUGAGUGUGAUUUAAUUAUCACGACUGAAAUAUAUGUCCGUCUCACAAAUCCAAAAGUGAUUUCCGCUGGGUGUGCCACCUGGCACUGACAACCUUUCAUGUAAUGAUGAUUUCUGAUGAAAACUCAAGCUCUGACUCAUUGCAUUGGGUUUCUCCACUAAAUGCAGGUCCUUUGGGUUCCAAACAGUGAGUUAAAACAUAACCAUUUCCUGACAGAUUCUGACGCAUCGCAGGAGUUUCUGAAUCAUCUUACCGGUUCCACUGUCGUGAGUAUCGGAUCCGUACCAAAUAUUUGAUUGUCUCCUGUCGCGGCCAGCAUAAAGGGUUUGGCCUGUAUUAUAAUAUCUGCAGAGUUGACUGAUGGUGGUUCUGACGGAAAACUUUUGUUCAUGACAGGCUGUCCAUGAUGAUUCAUAUUAGUGAGGACUCAGGCUUCCAGACUGUUAUCCUCAUGCUGAUUAUUCAUGCUGUAGGCAUAUCCAUGUGGAUCAAUUACUGACUUAGACUGUCCGGGGAAUCUGCACCAUGGGGGUCAUGUACGAUUUUCAUACCUGCCUCACUGGUCUUGCUCCUUCAUUAUUGUUUUCUUGGUCUGGAUCUUUGGCUAAAAGAGCUGGGCCAUAUUGUUUCUUUGUAUGACCAUAGAUACUGUUGGUGCAAUUUUCUCAGCAAUCGUAGCUUAUUCUCAUUUUUCUAACAGGGUAACCCAUUAAAUGGCAGGUUCAACACCUCUCAAGUUCUGAUUGUUGGGAAAUGAUCAUCCAAAAUCCUUGCAAGAACUCUGCAAAUAAAUCAGUAGCCACCAGAAUGGUCUUUAUAACUCAGAUCUGGGACAUUACUGAAAUAACUCAACCACGGCUCAAGACGGCCGAAAAACAGCUCAGGGCAUGAGACCGGGUCGAUAAGAAGAAGGUGGCAGCUCCCUAAAAUAGCCAAAAGCAGCUAUAGGGCUACUGUCACAAAAAGAAACUCAACAGCUGUACGAGACAGCCGAAAAGUAGCUCAGACUCGUGAUAGUUGUUGAAGAGAGAAACAAAAAUCGGCAUCCACCCCGGAUAGCUAGAAACAUCUUAGGUCACAGGCGUGGUGCCGUCAUUGGAGAAAAGGGGACAAGGGCCCAUCAGGAUCAUUUUCCAGGUUCACGGGUACUUGUAUUGAGCUCAUUGAUGUCGUCAAUCCUCAUAAUCCUUUGUCACACUGUGGUGUAUACUGGCUUUCUUCUAUUAACCAUUCUCACGUGGUUGUUGGAUCCUCAUCCGAGUGACUUGUAAAAUCUUGAUGGUAUUCUCAUUGCAUAUAUAUGAGAAUCUGAUUCCCGAGAUAGAUGUGUAUUCUGACUGAUUCUUGAGAUUCACUGCCAUAUGUUGGCAAUUCACAGUGUACUACCUUGUACCAAUGUCUUACUGAGGGAUAUUAGCUGGCUUGUGCUCGAAGCUUUCAUCGGAUAGCUUGCUGAAGAAGACUGGGUAUCGUGCUUCAGAAACUUACCCCCUUGAAGACUUUGCUGGGGAAAGACUCUGUACCUUAUGCUGGAAGCUUUUGAAGUUGCUUACUGAAGAAGACAGGGUACCUUGCACGGGAAGUCGUCCAUGUAUCGUACUGAGGAAGAUAGAUGAAUCUUGCCUUGGAAGCUUCUCUGGUAUUUUGCGAUUGAAGAUUGGGCUGCUUACACUAGAAGCUUCUUAUUGUGAUAUGCAGACCAAUUUCCACAUAUAUAACAAUCUGAAUAUUUUUUCUAUUGAUUUCUUGCAUGAAAUGGGGUUUUGCAGGACUAUCCUCCUUUCUGAGUAUAUGCCAUAUUUUUGCCUGCUUCCACAUACAUCGAGUUCCAAAAUCAUCCUCAACGAAAAAUUAAACUUGUAUCUGAGCCAUACCCUUGAUAAUAUUCUGUCAAGCUUGCACACAAUUUAUCUUCUUGCUAAUUUAAUCAUUUUGUUGUGAUGAGUGCACGUAAUGCAAACUUGAUACUGAUGGUCCAUCCAGGAUUUCUUUUGCAUCCAGACAAGAUAUUCCCAAUUUCACUGCGGUCAGCUGAUAAUUCCAUUCUGUUUAGCUGAAUUUCCAAAUAUAUGCAUUUCUUGCUGACUCUUCUUGUCUGGUGUCGGCUGACGAGCAACUUUAAUAGGGGGAAAUUUGUAACACCGAAGGCCCAAAGAAAGGAACAACAGAAACGACUAAAACAAAAGCACACAAGCAUACUACUAAUAUAAUUAAUCAAGAAAUCAUCACAUAUUACUGCUACUCACACAAUAAUAUGCAUGCACACCUAAUCACACAAAUCUCACGGAAACUCCGGUAUUAAGGUCUAGCAUGUUGUGAUGAUGUGCAUGAGGACGAAUAAAUGUGUGGAAGAAUUGGUGUAAACACACUACACCACGCACUAGACUUCCCUAUCGGUGUGUGUUGGGAAAACUCAUUUAUACUGACACACAGUCGGUCGGAAAAACUUGUAUCAGUCAGUAGGUCGGGAAUACACACUUGUAGCGUCUAGCAGUCUGUCGGGAAUGCUGGUAUAUUUCACGUCUGAUGGUCGGUCGGGAAUAGAAAGACUUCCAUCGAACUAGCAGUCGGCAAUUUUUCCCGACCAACUGUUGGUGGCUAAUUGGGCCGAUCAGUCGCGCACGCGGGAACGUGAAACAGUUGGCGCCGAAAUGAGCGCUCCCCAUGAAAAACCCUAUCUCCCCUUUUCCCCUUCACCCCCCAAAUCCCUCAGAUCUGGCACACAGUUUCUGCAUCCGCCGCCGCCCCCGCUCGAGUUCUCCCUCCGCCGCACAUGCUGCUCCCCACGCCGGCCAUGUGCUCUCCAGCCGGCAGGGCCGUCGCAUCCUCUCUCCCUCCCGUCCGCCGCUGACCCCACUCCACACUGCCGCUGGUGGUACCCCGUACACCAUACUGCCGCCGCCUCCACCGGUAGGUGCUUUCUCUGUCCUCCCCCCCUCCUCCGUCUACAGGUGCUCUCUCCUCCUGUCCGUGCGCCCUUCCCUUCACCGUCGCUCACUGUGCUGCCCUACACGCACAGGUGGUCUUGCUGUCGCCGUCCAAACCCUGCCGGGAGCUUCCCUUUUCGUCCGCGCCCAAGCUCACCAUCUCCUGGAGGUGCUGCCGGCCAAGAAGGUAUGCUCCAAGAUGCCUCUUCCAGAUCCAACUACGACAGUGGGUUGGUUUUAGUCCUUCUAAUGCAAGGUCUUUAUCCACCUCGUGUGUUAUCUAUUUCCCAGCAAUACAACGAUUUCUCUUCGGAAGAAUUGUUUUUCCCCUCCACAUGUUCCUGCUUAUGUUAUGUGUGGAUUUUGAAAUCUAAUUUACACGUACUAUGUGCUUUGAGAAGAAAACAAUGUAGUUUUUUUGCAUGAGCACACCUUCUGCAUAGUGGUCAAUUUGGUUGACCUUCGUUAUCAAAAGAAAUUUGCUUAGUGUAUUGUCAUCAUAAGUAACUAGCAUACUGCUUAAAUUUGGAACAUAGAACUUAGCUAUAAAUCUUAACUAUGAUGAUACUUUGUGGAGAAUGGCACAUUUAGAUUGAUUUUAAUGAUAUAUUUAUUGCUCUGAACCUUGGGUUAUCACCAUAGUUUAGACUCUUGAGUGUUGUUCUGGCUUUGAAAAGUGGGAUCCGAGAGAAUAUAUGAAAAUGCUAAUGAUGUCCUGUGACAAGUUGAGAUCAUGCACAAGAACAAUAAUUAUCUGUGUAGCAGUAAUACAUUAUAAGGCAAACCAAAACUUGAGAUUCUGGUUCAGUUUCAGCUCUUGCCUCCGCCCAUAAAUUAAGAUACCAAUUUAGCGUGGCACCUUUAGUUCCUAGUUGUCAUGAUAACAAUACUGUACCUGACUUGCAUAAUCUCUUGCUAUUCCUUGAUGAGCAGCAACUUAUUUUGAACUUGUAUAUUUUAGAAUUUGCCUUUUCCUGUUAUUUUGUGUGUGGACAAUGUAUGACACCACAUGUAUAACAUUGUUGGUGAACAUUUAAAGCAGUGCCUGGCAAAAGAAGGGGGCCAAACCUACUAACCUGCGGGAUCCGAACGACAUGUGGAUUUCCAAAAGGUUUUUUCUUAUACUGUUAGACACUAUUUGAUAAUGAUAUAAUGAAUUCUUGCUAGACUUAAUUGUUUCCUAUGAAGUUCAAUUCCUGGAACACCUAUUUUGUUUCCUAUGAUCCACAUGCGAGGCAUAGAAAGGGUUUGAUUUUGAUUUUAGUUUCAGUUUCAGAGUUCUAUUCACAUUUUGAAUUUUCUAGUUUUUUUUGUGUGUGGACAGUGUGUGAGGCAUUUAAAUUCACUAUUAAUCAUGUGUGCAGGUGCAACUAGCAUGGACAAAUAUUGGAUGGAUACACCUAGGUACAACACCCCAUAUGUUAAACAUCUUAGAUUAGAUGUUAGUACUUGCUGAAAUCUGAUGCAACGCGCUGCAUAUGUACACUUGCAUGUAGGCAUACGGAGAAGUACUACAAGGGCUUGCCAGAUUCUUACAAUGCAUUUAGUAAAUGUUCAGUUGAGAAUCAGGGAUUCAAUAUUCUAUAUUAUUCUUCUAAGGGUUUUUAGCAUACAAAAGUAUGCAUGGUUGUGCAGACUUUUAGCUUUAUUUUUAACAAGCUAUAGUUAAGUAAAGCAUCUGCUGUUAACGACCUGAUAUUUUUUAGUUGUACAAGUUGUUGCCAUCAAGUUGAAUGACAAAGUGAAACAUAACCUUUAACUUUGUCGUUUGUUUUGAUGUCCUAGUGCAGUGAUACAGCAAACAAUGUAGAAUGCCCUCACUUACUACUGACUAGCAUAUGGAACUAUGUGCUAGUCCAAUAAACACAUCUCCAGUUUCCUAUUAUUUCUUUGUUACAUAGGAAAUACAUGCAGCACUUCGUAAAUGGUUCCUUGUCCCUGUUUUUUUAUUGUGCACAGAGCUUGUAACUUUUCGGUGGGCCACUAUUAGAGGCCUGACCUAUAGAAAUUCACCGUGGUAAAUACCGCCAACCUCGCAGCCUGCUCCUCAUGUAGAUGUAAUUGUGUUGUCUUCAUACUUCACAGGUUUUAUGCUAGCCGUGGAAUAUUUUUCGCCACGUACGUUAUUCACCUAGGUAACUCCGCUGCUCUGUUACCACGAGCAGCUCCAUGCCUCAGUGAGGCCGGUCCCUAUUUUUUAGGACUAGGUGUGCUACUAUUCCUAUUUCCUACUGAUUUGUCCACUUUCUCUCUGUCCUACUACUCUCUUUUCAUUAAUCCCCCGAAUCUCUAAUCUUUGUUUGUGCAGAUUCUCUCUUACCUAUGAAUACAAGGUCGAUGAAAAUCCAAGCAAGUUGCAAGGAAGAUUGAUCUAUGUAAUAAUGCAAUAUGCAAGUUCUGUUGUCUCUGCUUAAUAACUUCUUUUUGUGAAAUUUAGUUGCAUUGAAUGAUUAAUUCCUCUCAUGCCAAUGUGGCAAUGUCUCUCGUCUGAAUUCUCAAUUGUCUUUGCCAGUUACAUAGUGGCUUACAUGCCACCUGGAUACUGGAGUAGCAUAGUAUCUGGGAAUAUGAUUUUAUUCUUUAGUCAUUUGUAUGCCACAUCUGGUAUCGUUGGUCCUUUCUGAAGGCCAAUAUGAAAGGGCAACUUAUAUAUGUCAAAUCGCAUGGGUAUUUUAGUUGGUACUUUCAGGUUUUGAUAUUACUCUAUCACUAGAAUUUCCUUUCGAACAUUGCAAUUAGCUUUUAUCAAAGCAUGGUAAGUAUUGAGAAAUUUGUUCAUCAUACCUCCCAGGUAAACUGGAAGUAUUGUAGUAGUAGUCAAGCAGGAACCAAUUCCAAUUGUAUCCUGGGGAUUUUCUACCUUAUUCUAGCUCCAGUGAAUAAUGUUUGCUGUGGCAGAUAAAGAAUAAUGUUUGCACUUACCUCACCCUGUCCUAAAUUGGUUUGCUUACAAAUGUUGCACAUGUCUUAUGUUUCCAUAGUUAGUUUAUUAUUGGAAAUUGGUGAUGAUCAGGUAAGGAAAGAAAUCUUCAAGUCUCAGGUUUUUCUAUAACCAUUCCCCCAUGGUGGUAAGCUCUCCCAGCAAAUCAUGAUGUGACUCGGAUCAGGUGUGCAUUUUUUCCUUUUUGUACUGUAAAAAAACUUUCCACUAAGCACACUAAAGUGUAGCACUCAAUAAACAAACUUCAUGAUAUUCUAUUCGAAUAAAGUAAUCUAUGAUGUUCUUGAAGUUUUGUCACGAGUGCCUUAUAUAAGUGCACCAUGGCCAUAAGUACGAGUAGCAUGCAUAUGUGCAUUGAGUAAUCCAACGUGAGGAAUAAGAGAGAUAAAAGCGGGUCCACAAUGAAAAGCGGUGUGGCAAGGCUUGCAUCUACUUCUAGUGGUUACCUAUACUUGAAUGGAGUGCCUUCUUGAGUAGGUGUUUUGGUACUAGCUUGCCUUGUGAAGUAAUAGCUGUUGUCAAUGCUAUGCUUUAUCCCAGUUUUUAUGGUACAUUGUAUUUAUGAAUGUAAGAAUGUAAUGGCAACUUCUUUACAUUUUGCAGGGAAGAAAUGCAAGCGGAGGAGGAACCAUGAAGCCGGCGGUUCAGGAUAUUUUGUGUAGUGGUGAUUGAAUCAUUGGUGAUGAAUUUUAUCUAUCAUUUUGUAAACCCACAUUAUGUUUGAGGCAAUGAACCUUAAUGUUUCCUCUAGUUAAUUAGCUAUAUUAGCUUAUGGGAAAUUUUGGAAGUCAUUAUGUUGAUAACAGAUGAAGUAUUUACAUGUGAAAUUAAUUAAUAUGUGUUUCUAUUGUCUGGUUAUGGUUUAUUAUUGCUGGAGGACAUGCACAUUAUUGUUAUGAAAUGUCUUGAUUGAUAUUUUCUUGGUAGUGCAAAUGUAAGCUAUGGUAGGGCUACUGGAUGUUGGUUGGAAAAAAACCAUGUCUGAAAGUCGUUUGGGGAAGCUAAUGCCAGGGCCAACGAAAAGUUGGACAGGAAAACAAACCCCAUCAGAUAGUCGGUCGGGAAAAGCACAUGGCAUGCCCUAUAGACUGUUGGUCGGGAAUACAACCCCAUCAGAUAGUCGGUCGGAAAGGCCCAUGGUAGGCCCAACAGACCGUCGGUCGGGAAAGGCCCAUGGUAGGCCCAACAGACUGUCGGUCGGGAAAGUUACGCCAUAGGUGACAAACAGUCGGUCGGGAAAGAUAUGUCGGUCGGGAAAGGCUUUUCCCGUCUAGACUUUCCCCAACAGACACAGUCGGUCGGCAAUAGUCUUUCCCGACCGACUAUCUAUUGGUGGAAGCUGUUUUCCCGUCCGACCUAGCUGUCAGGGAUGUAGUGUUGUGGUGUAGUGACAGCGCUACACCAAGUGCUACCUUAGCCAGAUAGCAACCUGGACUAGCUUGGAGGUGAGGACGUACUCGGUAAUCAUGUAGUAGGACAUGAAGGUCGCAGCCACAUUAUUAUCAAGCAGACGGAAAAAGAUCCGUACUCGUCCAAGAAAUAGGAUAGCGGGAAAAACUGAGACUGCUGACAUUGCCCUUUCUUGAUAACUAAGAUCAUUAAGGGUUGCCAACACGACGAAAUAAAAGAACGAUCCGGGAUAGACGCAUGUCCAUCACCGAAACGACAAACGAGACUGAAAGAAAGACAUCGGUGUGAUACCUGAGCACCAUUUUUGCAAACAGUGUCGGGAUCACUUGGCAUCACUCUGCUGGGACAGAAUUGACACCAAACACCGAAAGAAAAGGAACUGGAGAAAUGCAAAGGUUGAGCUGUAGUGGAUCCGAACCGAUGUCAGCUACACUCACUAGAUAAAUCGUUAGUAACAAAUAAUAAUCUAUAUGCAUGCUAUGCGACAAACAAAUGCAGCAAUCAAGUGCAACAAACCAAUUGGGGUCUAUACUACCGCUUUCUAACGUUCGCGCGGUCUAGGGCGUUCUGCAGCCAGACCAGCUCUGAUACCAAGCACUAUGGCACCCCGGCUUAGAGAUACCGGAACGCCCCGUAUUCUAGCCCAAAGAUCGAGGAGAAGUCUUCUGGAAUACGACACUACUUAGCAUAGAACAAACCAGCUUUCUAUUAUUACACGGAUAUGAAUACGAGGUCUCCGAUAUUACAAUGAAUAACGUCGAUACGGCGACACUACGCCAUCCUCAGUUGCUCUAUGCAAGUAGCAGAACAACUCGAAGCAACGGAAGAACUCUAGCAGCUAGCGGAACAACGACGACGGUGGUGAACUCCACGCCAUAGCGACUCUGGCUGGAAUGAUUAUCCUAGCUCGCACGCACGGAAACCACGACAGAAAGCAAUCAAAUUCGGCAUGACCUGCAAGCUGGCAUGACACGCGAGGUCAGUACAUUGAAUGUACUUGCAAGCUCACAAUAAUCUAGAAGCAUUCAAGACAGACAACAACAUGGCAAUUACAGGUUAAAUAGGAAUUAUCAUGAGAUCAUCAGAAUAGCAUGUCAUCAUCAACAUAAACAUGAUACAGCUAUCACAACAUGAACAUAUUAAUCUGACAAUACUAACAUGCAACAUGAUGACACUAUAUGCACCAAUUAUUCUGUUCGGCUACCUCGUAACCAACUCAUGCAUCACUUACCAACCUCGGACAUCACACGAUCAAGUCAAGAUCAAAUCAAGCUUGGUAUAAACAAUACUGUAGUAAUCAGUAAAUGACCACAAGGAGCUUGACCUUUACCCACGAUUCUCGUACAACAUCACGAAUAUACAACAACUCGGUAUCCUCGAUACCAUUUUUAUCCUUACGGCGAUCACAACCCGACCAACACUUGGUCCCAUACCAUGGUCCUUCAGGCGAUCACAACCCGACCUCUAAAUGGCCCGUGAUCCUUACGAUGAUCACAACCAACUUAUCUCACUAUUAUUAAGCACAUUAUUCUUAUUACUGUUGACUCAUGGUGUGACCUAUUUUCAACCUGGGCCCUUAUCCGCGGGCACGGCUAUCGAUAGAUUUAAUAUACACUCUGCAGAGGUUAGUACACUAUACCCACACUACGGAACCCAUGGCCUCGCAAUCCCAUUCGGGUGGACCAACGGCAUUCCCACAAAACCGUCCCCAUCGGGCUAGUCCUGGGUAGCCCCGUGUCUACCUCCAGACACAAUGACCACCGUCGUGGCCCAUCCCACUCUAGGACAAGGAUCCAAAAACUAACUCAACAACGGGCACACAAGGCUUAUGUCCGCCUACCUUAUCGGGGUAGUGUGCACCCAUAACGUUCCCUCGUUGGAGGCACCGGAGAGAGGCACAACAAUAGACCCAGUUAGAACCGUCCCAUACCGGUAAGCGUGGUUGCACUGGUCAGCAUCGAUUCAGCGGCACCAUGACUCAGCCAACAGUUGUUCAAGUUCAAUUUAAUCCGGUUAACUUGAAUGAAAAUAUGCUGAGUCAUGAUAAAAUGCAUGAACAUGAUAUCAACAUCAUCAUGAGUGUAUCACAUAACUUUCCACCAUAUCAACAAUAAAUCAUAUCCACUGAGCAUGGCAUACUGACUAGCAUGACCAUCACCAACAUCAACAUGUACUACUAGCAAUCAUAAACAUAUGAAAGGUAAUACUAGCAGGUAGAAUAUGUUAAUAGAGUACAAGACGGCAUAGCACAAAGGUGAACAUGCAACUCUAAACAUCACUGAAACAACGAUAACCAUCUAGUCAACAAGCAAAUAUUUAACAAAGAUUCAAGUUGAAAACCAUGUCUACUGCAUGACUAUCAUGCAAGUGGAUAUUGUGGCUUGCCUGGGGAUGAAGAAGGCACCGGGGAGAAGUGCGGUGAAGCCGCGGAACAAAUUGCCAGAAAACAUUCUCUCUCGGAGGGGGCUGAUUAAGGACAGGGGGAAAAUGGUCAUUUUUAGUAUGCCAAAACAUAAUGAAAGUGACACCAAUAGAAAGGGCUCGACGAAAUGAAGAAGUGAGCGUUGGAUUCACCUCGUUUGGAGUUACGGAUAAAAAGAUAUAAGGGUUUUACCAUCAGGGACCUAUCUGUAAACAUUUAUUUUACAGACUCGGCCAAAACAGAAAAACGGAAAGCGCAUUCCAGGAUUUACGCUUCCACUUAUCCGCGUCGCAGUGGCGGGGCCGGCUCCUGUGUGGCUGACAGGUGGGUCCCACCUUAUCCACUCCCUCUCUCUCCUCCCUUCUCUUCUUCCUCUCUCCUUCUCCCGACGCCGCAUGCUCCGGCCACUCGGGCCACCUUCGGCGGAGCUUGGAUCGCCGGAGUGCUCAGGACGGUGAGGCGCACCCGUCCCACCACCACACGAACAUCAAGGAGACUCGGGCAGGGCGGGACCGUGGCCACGGCGGACGGGGCUUCAGCCGACGAUAGAGGACGAGGCCAUGGCGAUUCCGGUGACUAACAGAAGGCUGCGGGAGAGGCUAUGGUGGCUGGGUGACCUACUAGAUGUGGAAGACAGAGGAGAGGGGCUUCGGUUCACCGGAAUCAGAGUGGACAGGGGCGGCGGCCAUGGCGGCAAGGGCGGGCUCGGGAGCUCUUGGAGCUCGAACGAGUGGACGGGGAGGUUGCUGGGAGUGAGGCGAGUCUCGGGGUGAGCUCGGACGAGGCCGGGGAUGGCUUAAAUAGCCGUGGGGCAAGGUGGCCGAGCUGGCACCGCCGCGGAUGCGUGGCUGGCGCCACGGACGUAUGCCCGCACGCAUGAACUCGGGGGCAAACGAUGGAGGAGGAGAAGUGGUGGCUCUCACGGGGCAGAGGAGGCCAAGGGGGCGCAGGGAGGAAGACAAUGGUGACGGGAAGAUCCAAAACCCCACUGUGCUCUCGUGUUCACACGGCGGCGAGCAUCGGUGAGCAAGCGGACGGAGGGGGAGUGGGGUCCAGGGGAACGGCGACGAGGAGAGGAAGACAAUGGACAAGCUCACGAGCGCGAAAACAGUGAGAGGGGGAGGGGCCCAAGCAAGAAGACGCUAAGGGCGCGGCCAUUGCACGCCAAAACGGUGGUCACCGCGUGCACUGGUGCACACCGUGCCACAAGUGAUGCCAAACCAUGUCUGGGGGUUAGUCCCUCAUGGGUAAGUUGUAACUACGGUGGUAACUAAGUGAAAACGUCUCUGGUUAAAUAGUUAGUGAGCUCUGAAGUUUACUGCAGUAAAAUUUACCAGCUCAAUGUGAUCAAUAGGGAGUUACUUGAAGCCAAAGAAGUUGUCUGGGGUGUAUAGCUAUGGAGGUACUAUGAUACUGGUGAUUUUGAGGGGAAAUGGAACAAGAUAAAUGAUAGUUGCUUUGCAACUGCCAAAAUGGUCCAGAAAUGAAGAUUAGGAUGGUGCACUCACAUGGAGUGUCCACAUGAGCUCACAUUGGGCAAGGCUUAGUCAUUUGGUCAUAUGAAGAUGCUCACAAAGUAUCAUACCAUUUGGCAAAGCCAAAAUGGUACUUGGUUCACAAACAUCUCUGCUGACCAGAAACUUGAAAUAAUUAUAGUGAUCAAAUGGAUCAAUGAAAUGAUGCCAAAUUGGGUGGAUAGAUGUUUUAUGGGUAUAAGAAUGAUCUGGUAAUUUAUCAGGAUUUUUGAAGCAAUAUAAAAUACACUUGCUUCACAACCUGAAAAUAUUGCCAGAAACAAAGAUUUGCUCCUGUUCUCACAUAGAUAAUUGUAUGGGGCUGCAAAUGGGUGGAAGGGUCUAAUAUGAGCACUCUAAAGAGUCUGCAAAAUUUUAACUCAUUUGGGGACUCCUUGCUAGUACUUCCUUCACAAAGCCUUCUGUUUGACAGAAACUUUGAAAAAUCACUGAGGAAGAUUGUCUAGGCAAAUAAAUUUGAACUUGUGCAUGGGGAAAUUAUUUGUACAUAUAAACAUGCCCAAAAAGGUUGGGAUUCAAUAGGAGAAAUAUAAAUCUCACUUCCUUCACAAACUGCCAUCCAGGACAUAAUAGAAAAAGGAAUAUUGGGGAAAUAUUUUUGAACAUGGCAAUGAAAAGUUUUGCCAUAUUUGAGCAAGAAAUGACCCAAACAAUUUAUGAGAAUUAUUUGGGAGUUUUUGGAGUGAUGGAAAUAUAGGUUGCUUCACAACCUAGGGCAAUUUGAGUUAUUCCUUUAAUUGAAAAGGAAUAUUCCCAAUAAAAAGAAUAUUAGGAUUUGGGCUAGGAUGGAAAUGACAGGUUCUAGGGAAAUAUUUGGGAAUGACAAGCCACUCUGCAAGCAAAGAAGAGGUCAUGUUCUUCAGUUUCCAGACCACAAAGCCACGGAAAAAGAAAACUCACGCAAAAACCUCGAAAAAACAAAAGAAAUUUGGAGUUACUAAAAUUUUAUUUGGAGUUACUAAAAUUUUAGAAAUUUUCAGAAAAAGAUGAAGAGAUUGUUCUUGAGGGGCUCUUCUAGCCAAGGCUCUAAGGAUAAACAAGCUAAGGAGAAAGAAAAGGCCAAGUAUAAUCUUCCUCGUGUGGCAGAAGUACGGCCGUGUGAAUGGCCUUGUGAUGAUUUCUUGAGAGCAGUGGGGAUUUAUGAUGACUUUUAUUCCUUGGCUGAUAAUGCUAGCCUCACCGACUUCCUCCAUGACCAAAUCGAACAGUAACUCUUACUCACUAAUACUUUCGUGCAAAACUUCUACUAUUAUCCUAAGAAAUCACCUCCUUCGGUAGAGUUUCAUUUAUAUGGUGUGGCUAGGGAGAUGACACUAUAUGAAUUUUGCACGGUUUGCAAGAUACCCCUCGGGGGCAGCUUAGAGGAACCACAUCGUAAAGAUGUGGAUGGAUUUAUCGAUACUAUUAUCUUAGUGGAAACGAGGAAGGUUUCCGAUGCCAGAAUUACUAGCAUACAUUGCAAUAUUUGCUAGUCGAUGCUUAAUUGGUCGCGGAAACUGUGGAAACCUUAGUGUUCCUGAUCUUAGUGUUCUCAAGAGUGCUGUAUUAGGUGAUAAACAAUACAACUUGGGGGCAAUUGUUGCACGUAGGUUGGUUUAGUUGGACACUUGUUUGGAGGGAUUUAUGCAACCCGUGUGGCUAAUUAUCUUGGUAUACCUGCACAUGAAAAUGAUAGGGAGUUGGCUCCCUCUUAUUUAGAUUAUAAUGCCAUGGUUAAUCGUCAUUUUCUUGAGAGGAAUGAACAAUUCCUCCAGUAUCGACUAAUCUUUGACAGAUGUCGCGCUGUCCAUAUUAGUCUCCCUGCUCUUGCCCUUUUUGAUUAUCAGGCAAAAGGAAGAUAUGUUAUCACCAAGGAGGAGGCAAACGAGUACGAGAGGAGGACAGAGGUAGCUCGCCGCCAUGCUGCAGCUCAGGAGGCAAUCGCUGCUGCAUCUCAGUACGACCCUAGUUACAACUUCGGAUAUCAGCCAGGCUACCCAUGGCCAUAGACCAACUUAGGCCAAAAGCCUAAGCUUGGGGAGUACGUAUGUCGGUGCUCAUACUUUUUCAUGAUACUAUCCUUGCUAGUUUAAUUUCUCUUCUAGCUUUCUUCUUGUGUGUUUGAUAAACUUUAAGAAAAACCAAAAAAAUAGCUAGUUUAAUUUCCAUGCUAGUAGUAGUAAUUAAAAGAAAACCGAAAAAUAUUUCUCGUUCUUCUUUUGCUUGUUGGGAGCUUUCCCGUGUAAAUAGUUUUAUUUCUUUUUCUUUCCUUUUGGGGUCGAGAGGAGAAGACCAUGAUGAAAAUGCUUAGUGGCUCUAAUAUGCAUGAUUGUUGAUUUAACCAAGAGCCCAUAUUACCUUGUCUUCUCCCUUGAAUUGAAUGCUUGCAGAUUCCAGCUUAGUCCACUACACGUGCACUAUUAUUAUUAUUAUUCACAUCGUUCGGUCGUGCAAGUGAAAGGCAAUAAUGACGAUAUAUGAUGGAUUGAUUGAGAUGAGAGAAGCUGGUAUGACCUCGGCCUAUCUUGUUUUUGUAAAUACGAUUAGUUCAUCAUUCCUGAUUCAGCCUAUUAUGAAUAAACAUGUUUGCAAUGACAAUUAGAGAUUAUAGUUUCUUAUGUCAUGCUUAAUUAGCUAGGAGUUUAUAAUGGUUUAUCUUGCGUGCCAACAUGCUAUUAAAAUGGUUGUGAUGUGGUAUGAUAGGGUGGUAUCCUCCUUUGAAUGAUUCGAGUGACUUGACUUGGCACAUGUUCACGCAUGUGGUUGAAACAGAAUCAACAUAUCCUUCAUGAUAUUUGUGUUCAUGGUGGAUUAUAUCCUACUCAUGCUUGCACUCGGUGUUGAUUAAUUUUAAUGCAUGUUCAUGACUGUUGUCGCUCUCUCAGUUGUUCGCUUCCCAGUCUCUUGCUAGCCUUCACCUGUACUAAGCGGGAAUACUGUUUGUGCAUCCAAACUCCAUAAACCCCAAAGUUAUUCCAUAUGAGUCCACCAUACCUUCCUAUAUGCGGUAUCUACCUGCCGUUCCAAGUAAAUUUGUAUGUGCCAAACUCCAAACCUUCAAAUGAAAUUAUGUUUUGUAUGCUCGAAUAGCUCAUGUAUCAACUAGGGUUGUAUGUAUCUUCCAUGUUAGGCGGCUUAUUCUCAAGAGGAGUGGAAUCCUCUCCUCAUUCACGAGAAAAUGGCUGGUCACCGGGAUACCUAGUCCCAUGCUCAAAUCAAAUCAAAAUAAUUAAACAAAACUCCCCCACGAUUGUUGCUAGUUGGAGGCACACGUUCUUUCGGGCAAGCCAUGGAUUGAUGCUUGUUGGUGGUGGGGGAGUAUAAAAUUUACCAUUCUGUUUGGGAACCGCCUAUAAUGUGUGUAGCACGGAAGAUAUCGAGAUCUCAUAGUUGUUACAUUGACAGUGAAAGUAUACCGCUCAAAAUGCUAUUCAUCUCUAUUUCAAAAUCGAGCUCUGGCACCUCUACAAAUCCCUGCUUCCCUCUACGAAGGGCCUAUCUAUUUACUUUUAUGUUGAGUCAUCACCCUCUUAUUAAAAAGCACCUGCUGGAGAGCACCGCUGUCAUUUGCAUGCAUUACUAUUUGUUUAUAUUGGGUAUGACUAUGACUGGGUCUCUUUUACCAUGAAUUGGAAUGUUUAGUCAGUCCUUAAUCUUUAAAGGUGAUCUGCAUUUAUGUUUUGCGGUCUCAGAAAGGGCUAGCGAGAUACCAUCUUGUUAUAUCAUAUUAUGAUUGUUUUGAGAAAGUGUUGUCAUCCGAGAUUUAUUAUUAUUGCUCGCUAGUUGAUUAUGCCAUUGAUAUGAGUAAACAUGAGACCUAAGUGUUAUAGUGAAUAUGGUUAGCUCAUAAUCUUUGCUGAAAACUUGAAUGCAGACUUUACAUAUUUACAACAACAAGAGCAAACAGAGUUUGUAAAAGUUUUUCUUUAUCACUUUCAAUUUAUCAACUGAAUUUCUUGAGGACAAGCAAAGGUUUAAGCUUGGGGGAGUUGAUAUGUCUCCAUCGUAUCUACUUUUCCAAACACUUUUGCCCUUGUUUUGGACUCUGACUUGCAUGAUUUGAAUGGAACUAACCCGGACUGACGCUGUUUUCAGCAGAACUGCCAUGGUGUUAUUUUUGUGCAGAAAUAAAAGUUCUCGGAAUGACAUGAAAAUCCACGGAGCAACUUUUCAGAAUUAAUAAAAAAUACUGGCGAAAGAAACAGCAUCAGGAGGCCCACACGCUGUCCAUGAGGGUGGGGACGCGCCCCCUCCCCUAGGGUGCGGCCCCUGCCUCAUGGGCCCCCUAGACGUCCACCGACCUCGACUCCAACUCCAUAUAUUUGCUUUCGCGGAGAAAAAAAUCAGAGAGAAAGUUCCAUCGCGUUUUACGAUAUGGAGCCGCCGCCAAGCCCUCAUCUCUCUCGGGAGGGCUGAUCUGGAGUCCGUUCAGGGCUCCGAAGAGGGGGAUUCAUCGCCGUCGUCAUCAUCAACCAUCCUCCAUUACCAAUUUCAUGAUGCUCACCGUCGUGCAUGAGUAAUUCCAUCGUAGGCUUGUUGGACGGUGAUGGGUUGGAUGAGAUUUACCAUGUAAUCAAGUUAGUUUUGUUUGGGUUUGAUCCCUAGUAUCCAUUAUGUUCUGAGAUUGAUGUUGCUAUGACUGUGCUAUGCUUAAUGCUUGUCACUAGGUCCCGAGUGCCAUGGUUUCAGAUCUGAACCUAUUAUGUUUUCAUGAAUAGAUGUGAGUUCUUGAUCCUAUCUUGCAAUUCUAUUGUCACCUAUUAUGUGUUAUGAUCCGACAACCCCGAAGUGACAAUAAUCGGGAUACUUCUUGGUGAUGACCAUAGUUUGAGGAGUUCAUGUAUUCACUAUGUGUUAAUGCUUUGGUCCAGUACUGUAUUAAAAGGAGGCCUUAAUAUCCCUUAGUUUCCAUUAGGACCCCGCUACCACGGGAGGGUAGGACAAAAGAUGCCAGUUCUUUUCCAUAAGCACGUUUGACUAUAUUCGGAAUACAUGCCUACAUUACAUUGAUGAACUGGAGCUAGUUCUGUGUCACCCUAUGUUAUAACUAUUACAUGAGGAAUCGCAUCCGACAUAAUUAUCCAUCACUGAUUCAAUGCCUACGAGCUUUUCACACAUUGUGCUUUCUUACUUACUUUACCGUUGCCACUAUUACAAUUACUACAAAACUGCUACCGUUACUUUUGCUACCGUUACCGUUACUUCCAUACUACUUUACUACUAAAUACUUUGCUCCAGAUACUAAGUUAUCCAGGUGUGGUUGAAUUGAAAACUCAACUGCUAAUACUUCAGAAUAUUCUUUGGCUCCCCUUGUGUCGAAUCAAUAAAUUUGGGUCCAAAUACUCUACCCACGAAAACUGUUGUGAUCCCCUAUACUUCUGGGUUAUCAAGGUCCCAUAGGACCAGCGCACCAGAACAGCAACCGCCGCCGAUGAAGAGUAGCGUAAAUCGAAAGGAUCCAACCUGAAAACACACGAACGUAGACGAAUGACGAACAUAUCCAAGCAAAUCCACCAAGGACAGAUUUACCGGAGACACACAUCCACACGCCCACCGACAAUGCUAAAUGCACCAGCAGAACUAGGGCUAGGCGAGGAGAACCUUAUUCCAUCUUCAGGGAGCAACCACUGUCUCGUCUUCCUGAGUUGGACACAAACCCUAGCACAUCUCGAAGACACAUCUAAAAACCGAGCCUUCCCACAGGCAAAGGCCAGGAUCCGCCGCGCUCCCAUGACCCUAAGGCAACUGGAGAUGAGGCGGACCGGCGACGGCACCGGUAGGAGGCACAAGAAUCCUAGUUGGGGAGGAGGCCGCGGCCUGAGGAGUCAUGUAAUGUCCUUUAUAGGUUCACCGGUUGGCCCCUUCUAUUCUGCCGCUGCAGAUCUGACACGUCAGAACGAAUUGUUGCAAUCACCAGGCAGCAGCGAAUGCUAGCGAUUUCGGGAGCAGCUGAGCUCGAGCACAGAAUUGCAGCGUCCGGCGAGCGUAGUAGCCAGAGGAGAAACCGAGCGUGUGUAAAGCGCUAAACUACACUGCCCUAACAGAGCGUGCGUGUGAGCGCUCAUGCGCCAACCAACGCCAUAAGCAUGGUAGAGGAGCGCUCCUGCAAUUUGUUGCCUCAAAUUGGUGGGAAAACACAUAAGGACAGGCACUAGUCGGCCCAUUCAUUUCAUACUGUACAAACCCGGUAGCCAAGAUUUUUUCGGUGUUGUACACUUUUAAGCGCUUCUUUCAAUUAGGCGUUUUCUUUCUCGUAUUUUGAAAAACAUUAGAAAAACUUAUUUAUUGAAAAACUAAGUAUUGAGUUUUUACAAUAAUUUUACAAAAUGUGUACAUUUUUAAAACAUGAAUGUUUUUCAUAAUGCAGACCAUUUUUUCAAGUUUUGAACGUUUUUUCAAAAACACGAAUAUUUUUUGAAAACACUAAAAAAUUGUGAAAACAUUCAAAUGAAAUUAUCCAUUUUGAAUACUAUUCAUAUAUUUAAUAAACAUGAACAUUUUUGAACAUUUUGUGAAAAAACUGAAAAAGAACGAAGAAAACAAAAAAUAAAACCAGCAAAAGAAGAAAACCUCAAAAACCGGAAUCCUUAUUGCGUCAUAAUAAUGCAUGACUAUUUUUUAUGAAUAUGUCUUCGAAUCAAAAAUGUCUGUUAUAUAUGCAUUUGCCUAUACCUCACUUGUAGUGAGACAAAAGAACACAAAUCCUCAGGCCCCCUGUAUUGUGGCCUAGGGAUCCAUCAUUAUCCAGGAAGCCGGCUUGGUAGGCCGGCCUAGGGCCUUAUAGGCUGGUUUGUCUAGGGCCAUCAAUUUGGCCCAUGGAUCCAAUUAGAGAAAGGCCCGAGGGACUUGGAGCGGGUGACAGGGCGACUAGCGUCCAGGAGAACUCCUCCAACGACCAACUACGAUCGUGUAAUCCUAGACCCCAACACCCAUAUAUGUCGUGGCCAGAUUAGUCAAUAGACACAGAACCUUAGAACUAUUGCUCAAUCCAUCGAUUAUUGUAACCCCUAUACACAAGCAAUAUACACGAGCAGGGGUUAGGAUUUUACCUCAUCCAUGAGGGUCUGAACCUGGAUAAACCCCUUCUUAUUUCCCAUUUUGCUUAAUCGCAUGGCCAGAGUACCUUAUCAAGUGAUCUGCCGGAAAUAACUCCACCACGUCAUAAAUGGGCUAGGGCCAGAUAAUUUUUUUCUCCUUUUCUCUUAUUUUGUUUCUACUUUUGGUUCAAUUUAAAACAUCUUGUAAAUAUAUAUAUUUGGAAAGAUUCUUAAUCAAUUAUUAAUAACAUUCACUGUGCCUGAAAUAAUGGUCAUGAAAUGUAAUUAUUUUUUUGCACAAUUUGAUAAAUUGUUCAUAUCCUUCAAAAGAAUAUUCGUAUCAUUUUUAAAUGUUCGGAUGUUUAAAAAAUGAAUGAUUUUUUAACAAUGUUUAUUAAUAUAUAUAUAUAAAUUAACAGUGUAAUUUGUAAAAAAUAUUCAUACCAUUCAAAAAAUGUUUAACACUUUAAAAAUGUUCAAACAUUUUAAUUUUAAAUAUUUUUUAGUAAAUACUAUUGAAAUAGAAAAAAAUUAAAAGUUUAUAACAUAUAAAAAUGUUUGUAAAAUUUUCAAAUAUGUUCAUAAACACUUACAAAAUGUUUGGCACUUUUACGGAUAUGUUGAUGUCUUAAUUUUUUGAAAACUAUCAAUGAAAUUUACAAAAAUGUUCCUAACAGAAAUGCUAUUACAAAAAUUUAUGAAUAGAAAAUGUGUGUAAAAUUUACAGAAAUGUUCACAAUUUUUUGAAGGAGCUCGGGAUCCAAACAUCCACUCUCUACCAACUAUAUGCAUGUAUGUUGUAGCAAGCCAUGAGCCAAGGGUUGCUACAUGAUCAAUUGCUGAUAGUGCAGUGUGUUUUCUUCAUUUUGGGCAGAUCACAAGUGUUUGACAUCUCUCUCUGCAUUGGGUAUCCUUUUCCACUUGAAUUUUAAGAUACGCGGAAUGUGCUUUCCUUGUUGUUGCCUCGUCAUUCCAGCAUGGAAUCAAAGCAAAACUGAUAUUACUUCCCUUAAAAAUUGUCUCGCUAUCUAUCUCCAUAACAUGCCCAUUGGACUGCAUGGCGGAAGUGAAGGUGUGCGCCUAGCCGGCGGAGAAGACGAACUCAUCUGUGACCUCUGAUGAGCCCAUGGUGCAUGUGGGUUGGAACACUGCUUAGGAAAUCUAGACUUAUUUUGCAGGCAAGCCAAGAUGAGAUCUGUAGGCCCAUGUGAAUUCCAUCAAAAUCACGGUCAGUUCAACUCUGGUUCGAAUCCUAAUAAAAAUAGAUCAACGGUCCUAGAUGGUUAUGUCCAUUGCUAAAAAAUGCAAUUGUUGAAAGAGUCGAUAUGACUAGUAGCUAGAGGACGCUGACACCCCUCACUUCUUCUACACGUACUAAACAAACCCUAGCUUAUCCAACUCAAUUUGCUUUAAGGUUUGUGUGUGAAAGAAGUAGUCUUAAAACCAAACACCACACUCUUCAACUUGAGAAAUCAAUAGUCCAUUUACCUAUGGAUAUCAACUCUAUAUACAUCAUACUUGAUGUGUCAAGUUGAUAAUACUUACUAAACAUAUUUUAAAUUACAAUAUCUGGUGCUUCACAGUCGGUUAUGAAAUUAAUGUUCACCCAUCCAAUGCAAUAAAAAGUAUGUGAAUGAUGUUAACACACGCGCGCGCGUGUGUGUGUGAGAGAGAGAGAGAGAUUAGAGUACAUUUUGUCCUGAGAGAGAUUAGAGUACAUUUUGUCCUGAUGUCCACCAUAGUUCCACGAUCAAUACAUCUAGGAGGAGACAAUCAAAAUACCGACAGAAAAUAAAUAUUUAAUAUGUAAAUGGUAGGUGACAAAUCCAACCACAAAAUUGUGCAAACAACCCACUAGCUAGUUUUAUUGAAUAUUAAAAUGACAUAGUUGAUUUCUAAAACAUACAAAAUUUAUUAUCUCAUCAACACAUAAUUAUUUUGAGAACAAUAAGGUUGAGAUUUAUCCACCCAAAAUAGGGGAGAUAACAAAACUAUUGUGUUGUUGUUGCUGGUGUGCAAUUAAUCUUGCAGGGACAGUUGAUGAAGCAUUCUCCAAGAUCUGGCCAGCACAAGUUAUCUAUUUGACAGCAGAAUUCCCGUCCUGGGAGCUGGUGCCCAUCUUUAUAACAAGGGGGUCUGGUUACAUGGCUUACUUUGCUCAUCAUGUUUCCCCCCUUGUUGUUUAUGAUUUCACCUAAUUAACAUAAAAUAAAGAAUAUACUUGUCAUCUCAUCAUAUAAACAAUAAAAGUCCACAAUAUCAAUCCCCCCAAAAAAUUGAGUUGUUAAUUACCAUAUGUGCCUCCAAGACAAGUCAAACACACCACAAGAAGAAAAGAAAGUAGCACAAGUCCUUCCACAUUGUUCCUCAUGAACUUGGUCAUCGUCACUAAGGAAUAGAGGCUAUUAAUGGGUGGUACUCUUGUAAGCGGAGUUGAUGACUGUAUGACCGUGAAAUGCUUGCUCCAUGAAUGGUUCAUAUNNNNNNNNNNNNNNNNNNNNNNNNNNNNNNNNNNNNNNNNNNNNNNNNNNNNNNNNNNNNNNNNNNNNNNNNNNNNNNNNNNNNNNNNNNNNNNNNNNNNNNNNNNNNNNNNNNNNNNNNNNNNNNNNNNNNNNNNNNNNNNNNNNNNNNNNNNNNNNNNNNNNNNNNNNNNNNNNNNNNNNNNNNNNNNNNNNNNNNNNNNNNNNNNNNNNNNNNNNNNNNNNNNNNNNNNNNNNNNNNNNNNNNNNNNNNNNNNNNNNNNNNNNNNNNNNNNNNNNNNNNNNNNNNNNNNNNNNNNNNNNNNNNNNNNNNNNNNNNNNNNNNNNNNNNNNNNNNNNNNNNNNNNNNNNNNNNNNNNNNNNNNNNNNNNNNNNNNNNNNGAAGUUAUAGAAAAUAUUAAUGCUUGGAGUUAUGACUUGUCUGAAUUUCCAAUUUUAGUUUCACUUCUAAAGAUUCAUGGUUCCUUCUAAAGUUUUUUUUCUCAAAUUUAUGCUUUGUUAUAGCAUGUAAGUUAAUUUAAUGCCCCCUCUAGAAUUGACCACUUUUUGUUUCCAAGGGGUAGAAUUGACCUCUUAGAAUGGGUAGCAAAAAACGGGUGCAUGGUAAUAUUAUGUUUAAGGCAUUGAUAAUAAUUGGUAUAAUAUUAAUAAUUCCUAUAUAUAUGAUGCCUUAUCAAUAAAAUAUUAAUUUCUCUCUUGGUAUAAGAGAAAAAAAUUUAAAAUUCAACAAGACUCGUCACUUAACAUUGGACUUGUUUUUUAAUGUAUAUAAGAAAUUGUUCUUAACUAUAUCAACAAGUUACAGAUACAUUUUUUUUACUUUUAUUCCAUGAACAUAGAUUAAUUAUGGGAUGGCCAUUUUAUAAAUAUAAGAUGAUGAUUUAUUUUCAUAUACAUGAAAAUUUUAUAUCAAGGUACUUGAGCAUUUUUUACAUUUUUCUAUACACAAAAUCUUCUCCAAUAUUAAUUCGAUUUUGAUUUCUUUAAAUAGAUUAGUUUCCCCCAAACGUUCUUUAUUAGAAUAGUGAAAAUGUCGCACUUCACUACUGGAAUCUAGCACUUUGCCAUCUGCCAUGGCAAAUGGCAAAGGCAUGGUCGGUGGAUGGCAAAGGCUUUGCCAUCUGCCAGCAGAUGGCAAACAGUUUGUCUGAAACCCUGCCGGUAAAGGCUUCUUUGCCGUCUACUGGCUGAUGGCAAAGAGUCUGUGCCUUUGCCAUCAUCUGGCAGAUGGCAAAGCCUCUUAACGGGGUUAGCCCCGUUAGAAGGCUAACGACAUACUUUGUUGUCUGCCAGCAGAUGGCAAAGGUUGCAGGCUCUUUGCCGUCUGCCAGCAGAUGGCAAAGAGCUUUGCCAUCUGCUGGCAGAUGGCAAAGAGCCCAAAUUGGCCAGCCCAAAUUUUACAUGUAGAUGACACGUGGCCUCUUUGCCAUCUGACAGCUGAUGGCAAAGCUCUUUGCCAUCUGCCAGCAGAUGGCAAAGUGACUAUAUUGCCCCAUUUUAUUUUGUUUUUUCUUAUAUCAGUUCAUUUUCAUAGAAAAUCAAACACAAAUGUAUUUAUAUGACCAAUAUAGCAUAUUUAACACAUAUUACCAAUAGUCAUGAACACAUAUAUAUCCAACACAUGUUACCAAUAGUAGCAAGUUUCAUCCGUACAUAUACAUAGUUUCAUCAAUAUUACACAGUUUCAUCCACAGGUAGCAAGUUUCACAAGGUCAAAACAAACACUAAAUACAAGCACUCCAUCAACCCAAGCUUCCGUGAACUUAAGCAAAUCUGUAAAAUGGGAAAGAAGAAAGUUAGAAGAAGAAGACUAGAAGAAGAAGAUUAUUAUGAUGCGGAAAUAUGCAUGGAUUGUCAAAACUUGCAUUAUCCUACUAUCACUAGUACAACAAAGCUGCAGGUUUGCAUUAUCCUACUAUCAGAAAUCUGGAACUAAACUAACCUAAUUAAUCAUAACAAGGUGGCAUGCAUAGAAAUUUGGAACUAACUAAGAACUUCGAAUUAAAAGAGGAGAAGCAAAGGUUCAGGAAUUAGUUGCUCCCCUGCCGAUGCAUUGGUUGUCGAGGUUGAGGAGGUUGUGUGCAUGGCCACACCAUCGACCUGAGCUACAACCCAGCAUCCACCGCAGACCCGUCUUUGCGCUCGAAAGAGAUGACCACUUCAGACCCCUCCUAGCUCCCCUCCGAUGGUGGUCUCCUCCUUGUUCAUCCGCCUUGCUAUGGCUUCAGGGUGGUAGGCCAGGCCGUCCCUUGUCACUGGGCGUCGUCCUCCAUGGCCAGAUCUAGCCACUCCAUGGCGUCCGGGCAGGGGAGGAAGUGGCCAUCCUGUCCAUGGCGUCCCGGUGCUCGAGCGACGACGGAUCAGAGAGUUAGAGGGGACGUGGUAAAGAAGAUAAGGAAGGAGGGAUGUGGCAAGGGAAGAGAGGGGAUCUGACUCACCGGAGCAACGCUGGAGCCACACCAGCUACGCGGUAGCCCAAACCCUAGUGAAUCGGUGUUUUUCGAAUGUAACUCAUCCCUUGGCAGAAUAUUGCUGUCAUAUUCACAACGGAAGAGUUCAUGUCCAGCUGACAAUGCAGAUGAUGGAGAUGCUGAUAAGCAGAUCAAUAGUAUUUUGCAUUUUUUUACCUGGCUCGUAUCAAUUCAUGUUAAUUGCAUUCAGCUAGAAAGUAGAGUACAAUCCUGAUAAUUACAUUCAGCUACUGAAAUAAGGUAAGACAAUAUUCUGCCAAUCAUCACCCACUGGUAAACGAUGAUCUCAACAAGGUAAGACUGCAGACAAUGACCUCAAAGAGAUGUAUGUAACUAGCAACUGUGCACUCACCUGCCAUUCCAUGAAUAACCUGCAACUACUCUCACCCACAGAAUAGUUGAAAAUAUCUAAUGUUUACCAUUUAAACAAAAGACUUGGUUGGAGUGUCUUAAGAGAGCUCUUACGUAUAGGUAACAGUAUCUGUUGUGCAACUAGAUGAAUUUAACACGAAGAGUAAGUUAGAAUUUUCCAUAGAUACUAAAACAUGCUGAAAAUAGAAUGCUAGCAUUGCCAAGCUACUGAAUAGUCCAACUCUCCUAUGGCUGACAAAAACGGUAACAGACAUUUCAGAAACCAGAUGGAAUCCAACAAACAGAGGGAAAGCGGAGCAAGCUAUACUUGCGGCAUGGUAGAGAUGAAGAUCAGAGCAAGGGAAAAGAGCAGCUACUAGCAUCAGCCUGAAUUGUACGUGUACAACACAACAUCUUGUUACAAUACAGAGAUAGAUUAAGCGUAAUUUUCUUUCAACAACACACAAUCUGCGUGUCUUUAUAUUUUUUUGAAAGAUAGGGGAAAACAAAUGCAUACAGUAGAAAUUAAAAUCUCAUCUAAUAGCGUGUACUUCUGAACGAAAGAGAAGUUAGCUGGCCUCUUAAUGCUCUUCGUUGGCAGGAGGAUGACCACCUACGAUCAAGUGCGCUAUUGUGGCAUAUAUCUUCCUUCUUGCCAAAGAAGCAUGGUAGAAUUAUAAAGAGAGUAUGUUUCCAUAGACAUUUAAAAAAAGAGAUUUGUGUAUACUCAUUAUAGUGUAAGUACCAUAGAUUAUUCAGAUUAGAAGUUCUUGUCUCUACCAACAAUUUAUAUUUUCUAUACAUACUAAUAUCUAUAUCGCAUUGACAAUCAUGUAUUUAUAUGAGCUCUUUGUGGUGCGUGAUACAGCCAGAUUCCUUUUGUUAUUGCAGCAAUUUGUAAGUAUUUAAAUAUAUUUUAAUAGCUAGUUUCUUCUGUGUUAUAAAGACAAAAUAAGACAUGCAUAGACUUGCAAAUAUGUAUUAGAAAUCUGCUACUCCAAAGUAUCAUAUGAAUCAAUGUAAGUCACGAAUCGUGUGCAUAUCACGCAAAGCAGUUUUUUUGUAAGAACAAUACAUAAUACUAAUCGACGGUACAGAUGAUUCAACACAUAUGCAUCAAGACACCACUACCUUGCACAUGGUGAUAUAGGAUGGAGUUGAAUCUGAUCACCUCCUUUUUACAACUUAUAGUGUAAUGUGUACUGCUCAUAAAUAGGCAUAUAUAUAGUAAUUUUUCUUUUGAUCAAACGCUUGGUAUAUUAAUGAUCACAUUAUACAUUUAUGUAACAUUUCUUACUUGCGAAAUCUUUUACAAAUUGGAAUAUAGGAAUAUUAUUAAUACCCAGAAGAAAUACUACUAUUCGGAAAAUAUACUAACUGGUACUAUACUUAUUUUUUUCUAAUAUUGGUACUAUACUUAAUUGGACCAAAAGGUACACAUAUUUUGAUUAGUUCAAUUUUUUUUCUACAGAUUUAUCGGCGCCAUUAUUUCUCUAUGGUUGAAAUGUAUAUAAACUACUGUCUGUAUAUAUUGAUCUGCAUUUAGACAAAUAUCAUGGACAAACACACAUACUGUUUAGCACGUGUAGUUGUAAAGGUAGAACACUGAUUUCUAGUAUUAAGAAAAUAUAUUUAUAACAUCUCAUUACGAUGUAUAUGGAGUUAGCAUGAGAGAAAUAACCAAGUGUUGUGCAAGGAUCAUUCUGACUAUCCAGUGGCAGAAUAGAAAUAGGAUGCUAAGCCCAGGGAGAAUACUUAUGUCCUAUAAACCUGCAAAUACGAAGCAUGCAUUCACCAUAUAUUAGAAUUCCAAAUUUUAUAGUUUGUUUGCAUGUUGGUAAUAAGCUUUGCCCCUUGUGAUAUGGAUUAUCACAUAGAAUGGAAAGAGGAGAAAAAAUUAUGGCUUAGCAGAAUCAAGGAGGAAAAGCACUACAUGUGAAGUAUCAAAACGUUGUGAUAGCACGAACCCCACCAGAUUUGAACUCGUGCUCUUAGUAUGACAUGGAAAGAGGGGCUACUCUCCAAUUGAAGUGAAAAUAGUAGAACUUUGAGCAUAAAAAUUCUAAAAGCACAUUGCAACACGGUAUUAAGUCAAGAUUUUGCAACCGAGAGGGAAAGUCAAAUAAAUAAAUAAAUAAAUAAAUAAAUAAGGAUUCUAAUCAAACCUGUGAAUCCAAGCUAGUAUCUAACUAUUGUAUUGCCCAUAGUUUUGCAUACGCCAUGGAAAGUAUGAUACAUAGCAUGUUGAAAAAUUGUAACCAAUUAAAUAGAAGACAUUUAAUUUAAAGGCACAAUGCUAGGAGAUCAUCUCUCAGAGCAAUCAUCGCUGACAUAGACCUUCUGUUAAAUCACAUGUCUAAGCAGAACCCAGAGGUCUUUUACUUUUCCUUUAUAUGGAACCUUCAUUUUGACCUUUGGGGACUAUAGCCGCCUCAAUUAUGCAACUUUUUUUUCUAAAAUUUUAGUAUAGUGUAGUAGGAGCCUUUCCUGGUGUUCCAUANNNNNNNNNNNNNNNNNNNNNNNNNNNNNNNNNNNNNNNNNNNNNNNNNNNNNNNNNNNNNNNNNNNNNNNNNNNNNNNNNNNNNNNNNNNNNNNNNNNNNNNNNNNNNNNNNNNNNNNNNNNNNNNNNNNNNNNNNNNNNNNNNNNNNNNNNNNNNNNNNNNNNNNNNNNNNNNNNNNNNNNNNNNNNNNNNNNNNNNNNNNNNNNNNNNNNNNNNNNNNNNNNNNNNNNNNNNNNNNNNNNNNNNNNNNNNNNNNNNNNNNNNNNNNNNNNNNNNNNNNNNNNNNNNNNNNNNNNNNNNNNNNNNNNNNNNNNNNNNNNNNNNNNNNNNNNNNNNNNNNNNNNNNNNNNNNNNNNNNNNNNNNNNNNNNNNNNNNNNNNNNNNNNNNNNNNNNNNNNNNNNNNNNNNNNNNNAAACACAUACUAUAUUUAAAAGCAAAGAUGCACCUUAUGUGAGAAUCACGCAUGUGUUAUUUCUAAUCAAUGAGCCAAUAAAAUAAUAGCAUUGUAUCAUUAAAUAAAUUAUUUUUCAACUGAAUCAGACACGUGGGGUUUGACAAAAUUAAAAGUAUAUGCGAAGAUGUUAAGAAGAAAAUGUCAAUAUACAAAAUUUGUUUCUACAGGCAGAUGUGAUUUCCGUACAAAAAUAGUCUGUUUGCUUUACAAUAGAUCCACCUAAACCAAACUCCUGAGUUACUACAUGUAGAGCUCAAAAAUAUCAGAUAUAGAGUAUAAAAUGAGAAUGGAAUACUAAGUGCGUCUUACAGAAAUUAUAAGAUCUUUUAAUAGCUUUCUACAAUAUUACAUAGCAUACACGACAAUGAGGCAUGAAAUGAAUCAGUAUUGUAAAUAUGUAAAGAAGAAUAAGAAACACAAAGUAGCUGCUGCUCGAGCAACUACUACAUGCAAAUACAAUGCUUGAAAAUUUUCAAGCGUUCUCUAUGCUUUUUACCCAGAUUCAGCAUGGAUUAAAAAACCACAAUACUUAAUUCCAUGUAUCCUAAAUUCAAGCGUCAUGUUCGACUUGCCUGUGGACUUGUAGAACCAACAGCGCACUCGACAACAUCGGACAGAUAGAUCAAUCUGCAUACCGUUCGCUGUAGGUUCUUCAAUGGGAAGCAGCACGAUCCACUUUAGACCACCAUCAGUAGACCUCAUCCUACGCUCCAUCGCAUCGUUAUAUUGCAGUCAGCUCGGAACUUAUGCCAAGGAGAAUAGUUAGACCAUAGAUUUGAUAUUUGACCUCGCAUGAUAUUUGAUUUAAAGUUCAGUGAAAUAUCACGAGAAUGAAUUGCAUAUCCCAACUUUAAACUUAGAAACAUACAUGGAACUGUAAUAUUCAACAAACUUAGAAACAAAUUAAGUCGAGAAUAUAGUUUUUAUUUUGUAUUGCGGGUUACAACUACUAGAAAAGGCAGACUAUUAAUUGUUCUAAUAGUAAUAUCGUAAGCAUAUUCCAUAAUAUCUUUCUAUAUUUCUCAUUCUAUAUAUUAUUCUUUUAGAAAAUGCUAGCCCGUGCAGAUGCACGGGUUGAUGACUAGUCAAAGCUAAUUGAGGCAGAAAUGAUGUGUAAAAUUAUAUGUGUUGAUGUACUGGAUACCAAAGUGCAAAAAAAGCUAACCCUAAAUCAGAAAUCGGGUUGCUCUUGCUCACUUGCCCGCUUGCUGCCGUCGGGGACUGGUACUGGUGACUGAGAGGAAGGGCAGCGACUGCCGCCGGCUUUGCAGGGAGGCAGGGCAGGGGUGCCAGGAGGUCGGGGAAGGUGCGCAGCCAAGCCCGCGCAGAGCAGGGGCGCACGCAGGGAGCGCGUCCGCGCGGCUGGUUCCAGGAGUGCGGGAAGGAGGGGCGGGGCNNNNNNNNNNNNNNNNNNNNNNNNNNNNNNNNNNNNNNNNNNNNNNNNNNNNNNNNNNNNNNNNNNNNNNNNNNNNNNNNNNNNNNNNNNNNNNNNNNNNNNNNNNNNNNNNNNNNNNNNNNNNNNNNNNNNNNNNNNNNNNNNNNNNNNNNNNNNNNNNNNNNNNNNNNNNNNNNNNNNNNNNNNNNNNNNNNNNNNNNNNNNNNNNNNNNNNNNNNNNNNNNNNNNNNNNNNNNNNNNNNNNNNNNNNNNNNNNNNNNNNNNNNNNNNNNNNNNNNNNNNNNNNNNNNNNNNNNNNNNNNNNNNNNNNNNNNNNNNNNNNNNNNNNNNNNNNNNNNNNNNNNNNNNNNNNNNNNNNNNNNNNNNNNNNNNNNNNNNNNNNNNNNNNNGAGAGAGGGAGGGGAUAGAGGCCACAGUUUUUUUUACCUGGAAAAAAUAACCCCAUCUCUUUGCCAUCUGCCAGCAGAUGGCAAAGAAUCUUUGCCAUCUGCUGGCAGAUGGCAAAAAGGUGGGGUUGGUACGCCGUUACAUCCCUGGCAGACAUAGGAUUUGCCAACCUCUUUGCCAUCUGCUGGCCGAUGGCAAAGAAUUGGCUGAUGGCAACCAUGUUCUUUGCCGUCUGUCACUUCUUUGCCAUCUGUUUUUUAUAAGCAGAUGGCAAAGACGUUCUUUGCCAUCCGCUGGCAGAUGGCAAAAAGCUUGCCCGACUAGGGCAAAUUUCGUUAGGCGGAGCUUCCUAAUUCUCGGUACUCCCUAUACGUUCCUCCUUGCGGCUAACAACCUCCCCUUCGGACAGUCCGCGCCUGGCUGGGCUGGUCCAUUGACGACACGAAUGGACACCACUAAGUGGGAGAGUAGGAACAUAAGAAAAAUAGCCCAAGGAAAAAACAAAUAUGUAAAACUAAAAAAUAACCCAAAGAAAACGGUAACAGAAACAGAAGGAAAAAAAAGAACAAACGGAAAUACCAGUAAAAAUCAUAUCAGAACCUUUUGGAAGGCUCCCAAAAU